rnacentral:lncRNA from 1 species
GAAAAUUAUACUAGUAAAACACAAUAAUAUACAAUUCACAGAAAAAUAAUUUUUAGGCAAUUCAAUUUCCUGAAAUUCGUUUUCAAUUUAAUUCAAUUUUAUCUUCGCAACAAACGGACCCUUAUUUUUAAACCAAAAGUAUAAUUAACGUGUUUUUCCCAAAAAACGGAAAAAGGCCCAACCUUUCAUUUCCUAAUACCAUAAACAAUGGAUGUACAGAAUACAUUUCAAUUUCUCUCUCUCACCUUUUCCACCGUCACACUCCGACGACGGCACCACCGAAAAUUCACGCCUCCUCUUUUCUGAUAACUUUUGCUCAACUUCUUUAAAAAAAAAUUGAAUUGAAAAAUUGGUUGCAUCAACCCAAAGGCUGAAUUUCUUUCUUUUUCUUAACUCACCCCGUACUCUGGCUACAACAACACCCGAUUGCAGAUCAUGGGCAGAAGCUUUAUAGGUAUUCGAUUGUUUGAUUCGCCAAGUUUCACCAGUAGAAGGCGUGGAUGAGUUUGUAAGUGUCGUUCAUUUUUUUUCUACCAGUUAUUUAUUUAUUUUUUUCCUUCUUUUUGUUUGGAUGCAUUUUUUUAGCAUUCUAUUUAUUCAUACUCGGGAAAUGGGUCUAAGCCACUUCUUAGGUUUUUUCUAAAUUUUAUUUGCCCAAUUUCUUCAGUCUCUGUUUAUUUUCUGUGUGCCGUGGAAAUGUAUCGUUAAUGGAUUGCACCAAUUCAAUUUGUAUUUCUAUAGAAGUACAGAAAGAACCCUUAUCUAUAGAUUUGCAACAUUGACAUUGCUAAAAAUUAUCUAGUCACUCUGCCAAAUUCAGGUUUUGAUAAUGUGUAUAUGGUUGCUGUAUGUGUUUAAAAUUCCAUGUCACAUGAAAGCACAUUUUCUUGAAUGCUAUGCUGCUGAAAUUUUCACAACCAUUGAUGUCAGACUUCUGUACCAUAUUAAAUUUUAGGAUUAAACCACAUCUACAGCACAUCAUGGUUCAUAGCCCCCUCACAAUGAGGGGACCUCACCUCGGUUUUAUUUAUUGUUAAUAUGUGCGGGCCCCCUCCGAUGUGAGGGGGCUGUCAACCGUGCGGUGUGUUGAGCUGUGCACACAGCACGGUCCUAAAUUUUAAACAGAUAGAUGCUGCUGCAAAUUAUGAAUGCUAUCAGUGAACGUUGCAGCAAAUUGAGAAAUGAUGACUUACCAAUUUUGAUUUGCUAUAAACAAGUUUUUAGGGAAAACAUUCAAAUUAAUCAAGAAUGCAUUACAGGUAGCUACUGUGAACUUUUAUGACAGACAACAAUAUCAUCACUUUUAGACAAUAAAGUUUCAAAUGGCACACCAUAUUAGCAUUUUGGCUGCUAAUAAUAGCUGAAACAAUUUUACAGAACAUGUGUUAUUCUGGAUCUCACUGUUGCACUUCAUUACAAUAUCAACAAAAAAUAUGAAGUCUCACAUUGGCAUGUUUGUUUUCUAUUAUUUACCCAUUAAAAUGAAAAAUACGACCAUUAUCCAUCACAUCAAGUCACCAUAUUUGACUUUCUAUCUCUUGUGGGGUUUCGUAACAACUAUAUUUUUCAUUCUUAUUUUUACAUUAAUGUGUACCAAACGAGCUCUAAUACCCAAUAGUUUAUAAAAUAAAACAUUUUGAUCUAUUUUUUUGUAGUUUCUCUUUAACCAAAUCAUUCACUUCUAAAGGUUUGUCCUGUCACUUAUGUGUACGAAUUGUUGAUAUUCUGCAGAAUUAAAGAAUGUAUGAUGCCUAGCGUCUUGUGUUUAUUAAGUUGACACCAUUCUGUAAAAUUAAACAGUAACAAUAACUAGUUAAAAAGUAAAAUCCAACCAAUCAUAGAAAAGAGAAAGUUGGUAUUGAUUAUAAAAUUCUUGUUGAUGGAAUUAGUUUUUCUUUGAAAACAAGUUGAUCCCCAUAUUCGUUUUUAUUUGUCCUUAUAUAUUAUUUUAGAUUUACUGGUCAAGUGAGCAAUUUUUUUCUUAUGGUUUUCUUAAGAAAUCUAAACAUAGCUACCUCAUUUGAGAGAGAUAUAUAUAUUCAUGCUUCUAGAAACAAAUAUGGAAAGCAUAAUCACUUGGCAUUUAUCUGACUUUAUUUCUUUGUAAAACAAGUAAAGCAAAAGUUCAAUUAAAAUAAAAUGAAAUUAGUGAAAUACAAAUCUGAAAACGAAUUAAUUGAAGAAACACAAACACGAGCACACAGAGAAACUUAUAUAUGGCACGCUCCUCGUAUAUAGAUAAGUUGUACAUCAUUCAUAGAAGAUUAAUGUUAUUUGCAAUCGCUCACUAUCUUAGUCGCUUACUAUCGUAGUCGCCCUGUGUGACAUACAUAUGACGAUUAGUGAUUUGAUACAUUAAUGUGGUAGUUUUUAUUACCUUAUAUAACAAUUCAUUAACCUCCACAUGUUUGUCACAUAAGAUAACUGUGGCAGUAAGCAAUUGCCCGUAGCUUUAUUCUUCAUAGAAUCGGUGAAAAGUUAGAACUCUGUUAUCUUUAUUAAUCUUCAUUGUCCCAAAAUUCUUGCACUAGAAUGUUUUUCUCAUAUAAGUAUUUUGCUAGAAAUAUUGUACUGUUCCUUUAUUUCAAAACAAUAUUUCUACUUUUUCUCUCAAAUAAUCUGUUUGAUAAGGUCAAAAUGAUUGUUUUAUCUAUAAUUUUAAUUGAGAAAACUAAUAAGAUCCUUAAUUUAGGGGGUUUCCUCAAUUGAAAUUGGAAUGAAUUUUAAAAUUCUUGUAUAUUCAGGUGAUCUCAAUUGAGAUUUUAAUGAAUUUUAAUGAAAUCUAUUAAAAUUUAGGAGUUUUCAAUUGAUAUUUAAAUUAAAUUCAAUGAAAUUCUUUAAAAUUUAGGUAUUCUUAAUAAUUAAUGAAUUUAUAAUGAUUUCAUUAAUAGAAUGGUUUUAAAAGAUUUGGAUGGAUUUCAAAUUUAAAAAAUACAUAUAAUCAAAACGAUCAAAAAAAGAAAAAAAAAAAGUACAUACAAUCAAAUCUUUUCAAAUUUCAUCAUAUUUGAGGAGAUUUUUAUAGAAUUUGUGGAAAUCUAUUCAAAUUCACGAAAUUUUGUUACUGUUUAUAAUCUUUUAAAAUCUAUCAAAAUUUUAGUUGAAGACACCCUGUCAAACUUUGGCCAUUACAAGAGCACUAUUUUGAGAAAUUGCUUAUCUUAAAAUGCAACGUGAAAAGUUAAAAUUGUUAUAAUAAGCGAUUUUAUUUCUCGAAGGGGUUAUUCUUUGAUGAUCAUAUGAUAUACUAAAGAACCACUGCAAUACAAAGUACAUUGAACUUAACGUCGGUAUAAUUUUUGCACUUGAAAAGGUUGUAUGGAGAUUUCAGAUGUUUGAGAAAAAGAAAGCCGACUAAGAGAUGAUAAAAUGUUUCGAUCAAAUUAAUUGUCACUAAGAUCAAGGGCAUUUAAAGUUCUCAACCUUGACAUUGCUAAUAAUGUGGCGAGAUUAUUUAAUCCAACAUCUGCAAGUGAUGGCGAGGGGGAAAACGAAUGGAUGGAACUAUUGUGCCAACAAAUUGAGGUGUUGAAACAACAUGUUAACAAUUUUCUAUCUUGAUAGUCUGACAAUCACAGAGAUGCAUCGGUUUGUAAGUAGGAGGAGGAGGGCUCUGACGACGAUGAAUGCCUUUUGUUCCUUCUAAUUCUAAGCCAGAGAUGAAAUGUUACUUUUUUAUGAUGCUUUAUAAUUGAUAAGUUCACAAAUACAUUGACGACCAUCCAAUUUGGGAGGAGGAACCUAAUGUUAAUUUGGAGAAAUGGUCCAUAAAAUCCAACUUUAACCUUAAAGCUGCUGAAGUUAGUAAAGCUAGUUUUCGAAAGUAAGUUUGGUGAAGUUGGCUACUUUUACCACCAGUCAAAAUUUUCACCUCCAUCGUGCACUAAUCUAGAAUUUUGCAAUAAUAUUAAUUAUUUUACACAAAUAGUUUACAGUUUUUUUAAUUAAUUUUAUGUUUAAGAUUACAAAUUUGGAUAUUUGGUGAUCUUCACGUCGAGGACAUGUUAAAUUUAUCUAUUUAUUAUUUAUUUAAUUUUUUUGUAAAUAAAUAACUAGCGAAGCAUUAAUAUAAAUCUUUUCGUUAACCAAAUGUUUGAUACUCAACUUCAAUAAUUGUUACACCAUCAAAUCACGUCAAAGGAAAACCUGCAACUGGUUCGUUACUUCGAAUGAUCAAAUCUGGGAAGAAAAAAAAAUGAUAAAAUUGAUUAGAUAGAUGAUAAAAAUAUAUUAGUUACAAAAAAGUUAGUAUAGUAUAAAAUGAUCUUCAUACAAAAUUACAGCAGGUACCUUCAUUUUGAAUAUGGGAAUACUUUCCAGAACACUUGGCCCUCAGAAUUGGAUUGUAUAAAUCUCAAUGAAAUGGAACCAUACUCUUCUCCAAUGAGGAUUUAUGUACAGAACUGUAGCAAUGCAAAGCACAACACAUAUGUAAGAUACGAUGAAGCUUACAUAGAAGACCUCCAUGUCCAUGAAACCGCGCUCCUCACUUUCAUCAUUAGCAGAUGGUAGGACAGGUGAUGAUCUAGUGCUAGUACAGUUGACUGGUAAUGGACGACCACAAAGAUAAGGAUUUCCCUGGUAGCUAUCUUCACCGAAGGUUCCAAACUGACCUUUCUCUGGUAUAGUACCUAUUAAAUUGUUAUGUGCCACGCUGAAGACUUCUAAAGUGUUUAACUCAAUCAGAUCAUUGGGGAUCUUCCCACCCAAGUUGUUAUAGGAGAGAUCUAAGCUCUCGAUCUGAUGUAGGCUUGAGAAUGUUGCUGGAAUUGUUCCAUUAAGAUUAUUGUGGGACAAGUUGAUUGCAUGGAUCUCACUUAACUUUCCAAAGCUGUCCGGAAUUUCACCAUGUAAUUUAUUAGAAGAGAGAUCAAUUCCAGACAUGUUAUUGAGGAUGUAACCUUUGUAAGGAUAAGAAUUCUUCUUUGUCGUAAAUGCCACUAUAAUUGGCACUCUGUCGAGUACAAUUAUUGUUAACUCAGAGUUCUCCUUGGUUUUCCCCAGUGAUAUGUUACCAAAGCACUGCGGGAUUUGACCCGAAAGGAAAUUAAAAGAAAGGUCUAUCAUACUUAGUUUGUUCAUCUCACAAAACUGGUGAGGGAUCGUGCCUUCAAAAUGGUUACCACUGAGUAGAAAAAAUCUCAUGCUUGAUAGAGUGCCAAUCCAUUGAGGGAUACUUCCAGUGAACUUAUUCUCUCUGAGAUCCAAUAACUCCAACGAAGAGCUAUUAUAAAAUGCUUCUAUCAGCUCACCUUCUAAUUGGUUAUUGUUCAGAUAGACAUGACUUAUUGUUGAUGUAUUGAAGCAGGAUGGGACCGAACCACAUAACUUGUUAUGAGAUAAAUCUAAGAGGAGAAGAUCCUUGAGAUUGCAAAUUUCCACGGGGAUAGGACCCUCGAGCUGGUUAUUAGACAUAGAAACUAUCAUCGAAUAUGUCAUAUUACCCACUGAUGUGGGAAUUCUGCCAAACAAAUGGUUGUUACUAAUGUCUAACACCCUUGAAUUUAUGGUAGACAAGCUACUUGAAAUGGUGCCUGACAAGUUAUUGUUGGACAAGUCCAGUUGAUCUAUAUAUUUUAAGUCACCAAAACUAGAAGGUAUACACCCAUCAAACAUAUUUGUUGACAUGUUUAAUAAAUACAAAUUUGGAAAAAUAGAAGUUAUGUUAAUUGGAAUACGUCCAUUGAACUUAUUAUUAGAUACAUCGAAAGCCUGCAUGUCAUGAUUGGAGCUUGUUGGCAACAUGAGAGUUCCUGUAAAAGCAUUAGCCGACAGGUAUAGUUGCACAAGUCUUGUGUUGUUCUCUAACAACCAAGUUGGGAAAUUCCCUCCUAUGUUGUUCUUUGAGAGACCAAUAAAUCUCAAGUUAGAUUGAUAGUAAAAGAAGUUGGGUAGUUUUGGAUGGCCACUACAAUUUGAAAUAUCAAAAUCCUCUAGUUGAAAACUGGGAACCCAUUUUUCCAACUCGUUUUCAUUUAUUAUUUCAUUGGUUCGCACAUAUAAAUGCUUUAAGUUUGAAUGAUUGAAGAAUGCCUUGAAAGAAAUUGGAACUUGAAAGUGGUUACUUGAAAGGGAGAGAUAUUCAAGCGAUGUGAGUUUGGAAAGUGGAGAUGAGGCAACAUUUCCGGUGAACUUAUUGGAAGAGAGGCCAAUUGAUCUAAGAGAAGUCAUGUUUGCAACACAUGAGGGAAGCAUUCCUUCAUACUCAUUCCCCAUCAAAUAUAACUCUUGGAGAGUUUUAAGUUCACACCACCCUGCAAAAAAAUCACUGCUUCAAUAGCCAUCAAAAAAAUAGAGAGUAUAAAGACUUCGCCCAUAAAAGGUAAGAAAAAUUUUUGUGUCCGAACUUACGUUUUAAGUAAGAAAAUUACAUUUUUAUUGGUGAAAUAUGGCAAUAAGUAGCUUAUUUUGAAUGUAACUCUUAUGAGGGACAAAGCCAGAACUCUAUAAAAAAUUCUUUUAUGCUGGACAUAAUUUUUACAAAUAUAAAAAUUCAUACGGAAAAGCAUUGUUUACCAAACAAGUCGUUGAAGUUUACCUCGAACGGGAAGGGUACCAUUGAGUCCACAACUAGACAGAGAUAAAAUCUUGAGGGAACUCAAUGCUCCAAUACUUUGUAGAAAGUUCCCAUCCACAUCAGAAUAGUCCAAGAACAAUUGCUCCAACUGUCUUAAAUGUCUCAACUCUUAUGCACGAAAACAAUGGGAUGGGCAUUAGAAUUGGAGUUCAUAUUAUAAUUAGUAAUAUAAUUUUUGUGACUAGAAAUUACAACUCUUUCGGGUUACCAAAUGUUUCUAUAUUUCCGUUUAUAUAAUUGAAAAUAGAAAUAAUCGAAGAAACAAUUUAUUAAUGAGCAUGCUAAGUCAUGGAAAACAUUGUUUACCAAACAAGUCGUUGAAGUUUACCUCGAACGGGUAGGUUGCCAUUGAGUUUGCAACGAGACAAAGAUAAAAUCUUGAGAGAACUCAAUGCUCCAAUACUUUGUAGUAAAUUUCCAUCGACUGUAGAAUUGUCCAAGAAUAGUCCCUCCAGCAAUCUUAAAUGUCUCAACUCUUAUACACAAAAGCAAUGGAAUGUGCAUUAGAAUUGGAGUUCAUAUUAUAAUUAGUAAUAUAAUUUUUGUGACUAGGAAUUACAACUCUUUAUGCUUACCAAAAGUUCCAAUACUUUCAUUUAUAUAAUUGUCCCGAAAAUAGAAGUGCUCGAGGUAUGAGAAUGCCCUCAAAGGUUGCACCAGGUUGCUAAUGUUGGAGACACUUAUGCCAUCUAAUUUUAGCACUCGAAGACGAUGCAUACUUUUGAUGCCUGGAAUGGAGAACUAUCUAGGGUAAUAUUCAUCAACGUUAAUUAUUGAGAAAUGGAAAAUUAAAAUGUUUUAAGUGUCGACGAUGAAAUGUAAUAAACAACAAACUACUAAAUUAGUGAUAUGGAAGGGCUGUGAGCAAAAUAAUAGGGACGCUUCGGCUCAUGCAUAAUAAGGCACAAGAAAAGGAAAUUAAUAAUGAAUAAGGAUAAAGAAUGAAUUGAGGUGAUAUACCAUAAAUGGUACCCGAACUUCCAAAUUGAUUUUCACUUAGGUCUAGCUCCUUCAAAUUGAUAAAAUCAUUCAGAUCUAUCAAAAAGGAAAAGUAAAUUUAUUAAAAGGUCAUAACAAUAUAGUCUUCUUUUGACCUAAAAACAAUUUAUCACACUUGUAAAAGGAGACUCACUUAGCAUCGACAGAAUGUCGCCGUUGCUAAUAUCAUCGUUACCUUUGAAAUCAAGAACUUCCAGCUUGGUUAAUCCGAAGAGCCUUUCACUGCCUAGACAAUUAUUUCUCUUAAAAAAUAAUAUUAUGUUUCGUCAAGCUAAUAAAAAUUGAAAUAAUACCCAGAGGAAAUCAAUGUUGAUUAAGAGUACGCACACAAGCAUAAUGGUUGGGAAUCAAAAAAAUAAUAUUAUACUUAUGUAAUAAGGUGUGUUACAAUAUUAGAUGAAAAGAAAUUAUUAAAAAAAAAAAAGGUCUUAUUUGUUGUAUAUGUCUUGUACCAGAAGUUCCCUUAAUCUUUCACAUUUGAAUUAGUACUUGGGUUGAUUAGAACUAUUAAUAUAUCAAUGACAUUAACAUAUGCGUUUCGUAAUGCUAACCGUAUUAGGAAGGGCAAAUGACAAAUGUUUUGAUCUAAUAGGAAAGCAACUAGCAUAAUUUUCGAAGUGGCUAUUCUUAGAUAAUCAAAUGAUCUAUCAAAGAACGAGCAGAAUACAAAGUAUAUUGAACUUACUGUUGCUGAAUUUUUUUCUCAUUAAAUAGUUGUUUCCAAAACCCAAAUACUUUAGAGAAGAAAGCCGACUAAGAAAUGACAAAAUUUUGUUAUCAAAUGAAUUCCAACUCAAAUCAAGGGCCUCCAAAUUUCUCAACUUCGACAGUCUAUCAAUACCUGCAACAAAGUUCAAUAUAUCUAUAAUAUCACUCGAAGGAAAAACUUAGACAACCAAAAAACAGAGGAGUAAUAAAAUUUAAUCAACUGGCUAGUUACUCGAGUAGAGAUUUCAUCUUGCCUUCAUUCUCAACCCAUCCUACUAACUAAUUUUGCUCCAAGAAGAGAUUUUUGAGCUCUCGAAAUGGAAGAAACAGAGAGGCAUUAAAAUACCAAUCUCCUAAUUUCCUCUCCCUAACGUAAUCAAGAUCAAGUUGGAUUACUCGUUUAGUUGUGUUGCUGCAUUCAACCGAUUCCCAUUGACAACAAUCAGUUGCAGUCUCAUUAACCACCCAUGAAGACAGUGAUUCUCCAUCUGGGAAGUUUAUAUUUGCUCUAAGGUGCAAAAGAGCAACCUUCUCUUCCUCCCAACACCCUAAACAAUACCAUUCAUUUAGUAAUGAAAGCACAAUCAUCACUAGAAUUACCAGUAACUUAAUUCCCAUCUUUCUUAACUGCUAAGCCACAAAUUCUUACUUUUUCUGGAUAAAUGAGGUUGCAAACUCUCCAAUUUAUAGCACUAAGUGGAUUUGACGUGUUAGGCGGUUUGUUUUUAUUAUAGACUUUUCCUUGAAGUUGUAAAAUUCGUAGCACUUUCUUAUUGUUUAAUUGAUUAAUAGGAAAUUGCCCAUACUUAGUUGAUUGAUUGAGGAUUAUAAAAGAACCCUAUAUGAGUUGAAAAUUACUGUCCAAAAUUGACCAUCCGACUUGCCUUCCACAAAUAAUUCAUUGACACAUCAUUAGACACCUAUUUUUAAUCACAAGUGAUGGUGAAUUAAAAGUUGAACAUGCAGAUCUCAACUUACACUAUAUAGUACUGACUUUUUUUUCUUCAUGCACAAGAAAAAAUUCUUUAAAUUUUUUCCUAAUGGAUGGAGAAGAAUUUCCAGGAAGGAUAUUGUUUUUCUUAAAUAUCUAUGUGCAAAAGUGUGUGGAAAAUCAUGAGAAUAAGAACUAAUCAGAAUUUUCUAUUUCCGUGUGCCAAGGGCAUGCCAGAUUCUCUUUUACUAGAAUUCUUAAUUAGCACCAUGUAUUGACCUAAUCCUACGUUCCGUCAUUAUUAUCGAAUGAUCAGCUCACUUUCAUUAUUAUCCUAGUUGUACAUUUUUAUUUUUAUUUUUUGCAAUCAAAUCAUUAAUUGAUUGACAGUUGGAAGAAGAAGACAAAUAUUUUGCAUUCCAAAAACAUUUUCUCAGUAAUGCAGUGCCCCGUGGACCACGUUCCGCAAAGUGGUGGAAAUUGAUGAAAUUUCUACAAUUUGCCCCACCUAUCAAGGUCUAUAAAUGUCUAUAUUACAUGAGAAGUAAAACUUACAACUUAUAUCUAUUUCGUGAAAUAUGGUUCAUUAUUUCUCUUUCAUAUUUUAUCGUUGAAGGAUAUAAACAAGAUUUUAAUUCGACUCAAAAUCUGUCAUUUAUUUAUUCAUCACUAAUGCUCCGUGAAGGAACCUUAUCAUUUUGCAUGAAACCGUUUGGCAUUGAUUAAUUAGACAUCAGCCUUAACAUUUAAAAAAUAAAUAAAAAAAUUACAUUGUUAUUUAUUUUGAAUAUAAUUGACGCUGUCUGCAUAUGGAAUUUAUCAAUUAUUUUAUAGUUUUGAGAUUAUAUUACUUUGUGAUAAUUUUAGAUUGUUUCAUUUUGAUUAAGAUUUCGUUCAUGGUAGUAUUUUAUUUUGAACAAAGCACGUUGUUAUUGAUCUCAUAUUAACAAAAAAUUGUCAUAUGUUGCCUAGUGAAUCGUGGAUCUCAACAUUUUUUACAGUCCUAAGCAAAUAUCUACGUGCAAAAGUGUCAUGCACUACAAAAUCAUAAGAAUAAGAAAAAAAAUCAGAUUUUUCUAUUUUCAUGUGCCAAGGAUAUGCCAUAUUAAAGAAUUACUCUUUUAUUAGAAUUCUUAGCACGGUCUAUUGACCAAAUCCUAUGCUCCAUUAUUGUUAGAAUUCUUAGCACUAUAAUUGAUGACGAUAAACAAAUCAUAAAUGUUUAAUUUUUGCAUGUAAAAAUGAUACACAUAUAUUUAUGACCAAGCAUAAAUUCUAUUUAUUCUAUUAGUACUGUUAAUAAAAAUGCUCAAGUAUUGCAUAAUUAAUUCACAAACAAUUGAUAUUCUUCAUAUUCCAAAUAACAGUAACUGAGUAAGAUAUAUAAUCUUUUAUCUUGUUAUAAGAUAUUUAAAUUCUUGAUUUUUUUAAUUUUUUAAUUUAUUAUUAUUAUUAUUUUUAAUUAAUUUAUUUUUUUAACAAUCAAAUCAUUGAUCAAUUGACAGCUGGAAGAAGAAGAUAGAACUAUUGUACAUUCCAAACAACAUUUUCUCAGUAAAGCAAUGGCUCAUGGACCCCAUUCAGCAAAGAAUUUCUACAAUCAUCUACGCCUAUUAAGGUCUAGACUUAUCUACAACCACACCUUUUUCCACCGUGAGAAGACUUCCAAAUGUCCAUUUUAAAAGUGGUAAACUUAUGUAUCAGUUUUCUAACUUAUGACUCAUAUCUAUACCGUGAAAUAUGGUUCAUUGUUUCGUCUUUCAUAUUCUCUCGCUGACAAGGACAGAUCCCUAAUUUUCAUUAACGUGGGCUAAAAUUUAGAAACAACAUUUUCUCAGUAAUGCAAUGGCUCAUGGACCCCAUUCAGCAAAGAAUUUCUACAAUCAUCUACGCCUAUCAAGGUCUAGACUUAUCUACAACCACACCUUUUUUUCCACCAUGAGAAGACUUCCAAAUGUCCAUUUUAAAAGUAGUAAACUUAUGUAUCAGUUUUCUAACUUAUGACUAAUAUCUAUACCGUGAAAUAUGGUUCAUUGUUUCCACUUUCAUAUUCUCUCGCUGACAGGGACAGAUCCCUAAUUUUCAUUAACGUGGGCUAAAAUUUAGAAACAACGAUGCAAUAAAAUUUAUAGAUAAAAAAAAAAAAAAAAAAAAAAAAAAAAAAAAAAAAAAAAAAAAAAAAAAAAAUUUAUAAAAAAAAAAAAAAAAAAAAAAAAGUCAUCGAAAGACAAUAUUUAUUCAAGUAGUUCUGUUGAGGGUUUGAAACAUGCAAUAAAGAUGGCGUUGAUGACGGUCCAUGACGGUCCAUACAAUGGUCACAACCUGAGUUGGGGUAAACUUCAACACUAUCCCUUUCCUUCUUCACCCCUACUAACUUUUCCAAAUCUGAAACCCACAUCAUAAAUAUUAAACUAUCUUCCUCCAAAAUAAUCAAAGGCGAAAAGGGAAUGCAAAUUAUCUUAGGAAUAUAAAAGACUAAAAAAAAAUGAGAAAAUACAAUUUAUUGUUUCGGAAUCACGAGAUAUAGAUAGAGAGAGAGGAGAUGUCUGGAAUGGGUUUGUGUUUGGGUUUGGGUUGGGGAAAUGGGCUCAUUUUAAAUGUACAUCUUAAAAUGAAGCAUUUAAUUACCAUUCCUCUCAAUGCAAAGCAUUCAAUCAAUUUUGAAAGUCUAUACACUAAAAUGGGUUUGGGUUCGGGAAAUGGGCUCAUUUUAAAUGUACAUCUUAAAAUGAAGCAUUUAAUUACCAUUCCUCUCAAUGCAAAGCAUUCAAUCAAUUUUGAAAGUCUAUACACUAAAAUUUAUUCGAGAAAUACGUUACUUCCUUCAUUAACAAAUGUCGUUUCCUCAUCAGUGGAUUCCUGGCCGACAAAUUUAUUCCUUUUGGUUAGAAAGGUUACUUAUCUCCACUUUUAUCCUUGAAUUCUUUUGAUUUUACAUAACUAAAGAAUAGGAUUGGCAAUGGAGUGGGAUCUAGGUCCCCCACCCCCACCCCGUCGAGCAUUUUCCCGCCCCGUUACUCAUUUAAGGUAACAGGACAAGGUGGGGUCAGGUAACGGGCAGGGCAGUGCGGGGAAAUGCCCCUACCCCUUUUUAUUUUAGUUUUUGAUAAUUCAUUGUAUUGCCCUCAUUCAUUUAAGUGAGACAAUAAUAUAGUUGUUAAAUUUUUAAUUAAUUAAUUUAUUUUUAAAAGUUAAAUUAUUCGAAUAUAUUUGGUAAAAUAAGGUUUUUAUUGUUUAUUAUAUUCCUUAGAUAAUUUUAGUUGCCAUCUUCUAUUACAAUAAAUGAAAUUUUGUAGAGUUUUCCAAUAUUGAAUUUUAAAAAAAAAUAAAAUUAGCGGGGCGGGAUUGGUGUUACUCGUACCCGCCCAGUUCUCACCUCAGGGCAGAAUUCCUCGCCCUGAAUACCAGAUUAAGUUGUUAAUCUCCGUCUCACUUGGGGCGGGUCCUAUGGGUAUCCGAUUUGAUAGGUUUUUUUUUGCCAUUCCUAUUAAAAAAGUAAUUGAGUAAACAUUAGUAAGAACCAAGUAAAAAAAUUAUACUAUUUAAAUAGAAAAUUAAUAUCAGACAAAAAAGACUAAUUUGGCUAAAAAUUACAUGAAAAAGACCCAUAUAAGUAACCAAUCCCAUAAAUCCUACUCAUAGAUGAAACUUACUGACUACCUUGAAACAAUCGAAAGGCAGAUUUCCAAAUAUGGAGCCCAUCUCAAUCGAGUGAGGACUGAUACGGCGUUUCCUAAUAUUCUAGCAUCUAUGAAAGAAAUAGAGAGUAGAGAAGGUGAGAAACACAUGGAGCAAAUAAGAGCAUCGACUCUCUAAAUACAAAAUACUCCUUAUUUAAAAGAGAUAAUACUUAAAAAUGAGCUAUAAAAGACUCUUUAUUUUAACUUUUGUAGAAUAAAGAAUGGAUUUGACUUCAAGUUAACACUUAAAAAUAAGCUAAGCGAUUUUUUAUAUUAAUUUUUAAAAUAAAUAGUGAGUUUAGCUCUUAAAAUUAGAGAGUCAAAAACUCAUUCUCUAUUCUUAAUGUAUAAUGAUUGCAUUUAAUAAGUUAAGGUAUUUCAAUAAUAUUGCUUAAGCAACUCAAACUACAUUUAAAUUGAUUGGCCAUUGACAUAUAAAAAUAACGUUAAUAAAAUAUAAGGAGAAAUUAACAAAUGUUUUCUGAGAAAAGCAAAAUAAAGAGCCAUAAUAAUGAACAAUGUUGAAGUGUAAAAAAAAUUUGACUCACAAAAUUUAAAAACUCUUUAUAUAAUACAUAAGAUGCUAUAGUCUCUUGAAUAUAAGCCAAGCGGGAUGAUGUCUAGGUUUGGGUUUAAACUGGACUAAUGGGUGUUGGACUUGGGCUAUUAUUAAUUUUAAUACAUACGUCCAUUGAUUUGACGGUUGGCUAACUAAAGUAAAUAAUUAAAAAAAUACAUAAUUGCCAUAGUUUGAAGGUAGGCUAACUAAAAUAAAUAAUUAAAAAAAUAAAUAAUUGCCAUAGUUUUAAAAUACACUUUCAAAUUUAAUGAACUUGUAGAAUUCUUUCAGAAAUCAUGUGAUCGCAUUUAUGAUCAUCUGGUAAAGUUUUAUAACUUAUUAAUUUAUCAAACAGGUCAAGAUCAUGAUAACAUAUAAUUAAUGUCACAUUCACAUGCUAAUCAUGUCACAAAAUGUCACGGUCAGAAAAACACAAAUUGUGGGGUGCUAUUUCGAAUUUAAUAUCAAACUACCGUUUUAUUAUGUAGUAGACAAAGAUAUGUAGUGGCGGCGAUGGGCUGCUAUUGCCGUGGGUGUGGAUUGGGAAAUGUGGGUUUGGAUUUGGAAGAAAUGAAUUAAUUGAUGGGGUAGGGUAGUGUGAGGUAGUGUGGGUUAUAGUAUAUACCUGACUCUUGAAAAGAUAAAUGUAAUUCUGAUUUUACAAAUGAAAUGAUAGAAAAUAGGGAUGGGUGUAAUUUUUCCUUAAAAAAUGUAAAAUUGGAUUUUAGCUCGCACGAGUUGAUGCCCAGGACCAUCCAUCCCUAGGAGAAGGUUGUGAUCAUGAUUGUGGUGAUCCUAGAUGGUGGUGGUGGGAUGGUGAUCGGAGGACAUUGAAGUCGCGAAUAGUUUUCAGCACAAUGGUGCAACAGGAGGUGCAAAGGAGGCUGAACCUUUUAAAAAUGUGCAGUGCAGUCUCAAACCUUCAAAAAGAGUAGCACAUAUUUCUCAUACCUUUUAAAUAUAUGUCAUGGAAGGAUCUUUAGACGAUUUUUGUCCAAAAAUCUAUUACUUGACCAAAAGUAAUAUAUUACAUAAAUGAAUGAGAUAUCUAUAUUACUGGUUUGGAUUUCAAUAUGGAAUGUAUUCUUCUUCCUCAUUCAUUUCCCCACUACACUUGCACAAUUACAUUCUGCCUUCCAAAAUUCUUGAAUUUACAAUUUCUAUCCUCUCCCUUUUCAUUUUUCUCCUUAUUUAACCAUAAUCCUUUUCCUAUCUACUUCCUUUUCUUUCCCUUUUAUAUUUAUAGACAAAUAAGAACAUGCUCCAUUCUCUUUCAAUAAACUAACAUCCAUCUCACUCAUUUCCAAUUAUUAUUGUUCAGUAUUUCUUCUCCUUUUGUCUAAGUGUGUUUACAGAAGCUAUUCCAUUUAGUCAAUUAUUUUUCUUGCUAACUCCUCUUAAUUUCUUGUUCUAAUUGCAACCUACUUGUAAACCCAUUUGCCAAUCUUUCUUUUUGUUCUUCUCUUUUUCUUUUUACAAUUCCUCUUUUGAUUUCAAAUUAGAAUAUCAUCUUGCUUCCUUUUCUUUUUCUCUUCUUUCAUUUUUCCUGUUCACCGUUUAUUAUCUUGUGUUUCCUACUAUUCUCCAAUUUUUAAGAUGAAAAAGCACAAAAAAUGAUCCUUACCUCCUUGUUUUGCCAAAUGAAAUGAAAGCACAAAUCUACUGUCAUUCCCUCUUUCUGUUUUUGAUCUCUACUCUAAUUCUUCUUUUUAUUUUAAUUCUCUUACGGACCAUCUUUCUCACCGUAUUGUGUCUCUCUCGAUUGCUAUAUGGAGAAUUCCAUAUGCAAUGUAAUUAUAUUAAGACCCCGUUUGGCCCCUUUUCUCUUUCAUUUUCUUUCUCUUAUUUUCAGCCACGUAAUCUUUCAUAAAAUAAUAUUACAUAUAUUGAAAACUUUUUAUUCUUUUUCAACCAUACAUUCUUAAAAAAAAAUACUAUUCCAACCAUUACAAUUUGGAAAAAAAUGGGGGCUAAAAUAUGGGUUUUAAGAACCAAAUGAUGGGGAUCUCCAAUCAGUUUGCAAGUUCACACCCUUAUUAUCUUACAAUGUAAAUUUUUAACCCUUUAAUUCUAAUAUAAGGAAAAUUAAAUCCCUAGAUUCAUAUUUUAUAUUAACUACAAAUUAGACCCCAUAAAAAUCAUUUGUUCGACUUAAGUCCUUGGCCUUGACUUUGACUACAAAUGAGUGGGGUAUAACAUCUUUCGAGUCUGGUAGUUCCCCCUAUGCAAAGUCUAUCAAGAAAACUCUUCAUGAAUAACAAUGUUAUAUUCUGAGUCAUUGAUCCAAUCAUCUUCACAAUCCAUUUAUUUAGGAAAGACUAUCACCAAUGCUAAUUUGUCCUUUAGACUUGAAUUGAUUUUCUUUUCUCGAGCGUGUUCAAUUAUUAUUGUGCAAGCUUCAACGUUUCAUUCUUCUUCAGUAUUGUACUUAUCAUCCUUGAUGGUAUAAUGCCUUCUGCUUGCUCAUUCUUAAAUCAGCAAUAUCUAGCAUAAUUACCCUUUUUUUCACAUACAAAAUAUGAGACAACAGUCCAUCAAUAUCCUUUAGAUGACUAACCUCUCUUAUAGUAAUUUUUUCUUGAGCCCUCCUUAUCUAAUGACUUUCUCCUAAUUUUUUUUAAUUCUUUAUUAUUUUAUUAAUGAAAUUUGCCUAUUCUUUUAUAGCAGAAUAAUGCUUCUUCUUUUUCUUUUAUAAUGAAACCCCUAACAUUUGUGUGAUCGAUGCUUUUUGGUCGGCCAGCAAUUUUACUACUGCUCUGGCCAACCUUUACCAAUAAAGCUUCUAAAUUCGAAUCUCAAUCCAUGUAUGAUUAUCUUCUCAUUUUAGACUCCAAAAUUUUACUCAAAGAAUUUAAAAUGAAAAAUUUCACAACAAAGAAAUUUAACUUUGUUAAAAUAAUUACAGCCAUUCUCCUUGAACAUAGAGAAGCUCAUUUUUUAGAAGUUGCAACCGCAUAUCAUUUUUCUUUGAGAAUAGUGCCGUUGAAGUGUCCCAUACUUCUUUUGGUAUGUUCUAAUCCCUUACGUGCUCCAACAAUUAUUUCUCAAUAGUUGUUUUUAUAACAAACAUAGCCUUGCUACUUUGAUUCUCCAACAUUUUAGAUUCGUGACUUCUUCGACGGUGUCACAUCACUUCCACCAAAUAUUAGCCAUAGAUCUUACUCUUGGAAAUACAACUCCAUGCGAGUUUUUCAUACAUUUUAGUUCUAAUUAUAAGCUUCUUUACUUCGAUACUACUUUAAGGUCGCUCAUUAUGACUUGAUUUAUCCCAUCGCAACCAAACAAGAUUUAAAAGCUUCACAAUCUCUCUUUCUACAGAAACUCCAAAAGUGCAAAAAUUCUUCCUCGAUCGUCUGCCUUGAUACCAAAUUUUUGAAUUUAAACAACAAGUAAACUAAUUUGAUACACACACAUGUACAAAUCCCUCUAUCUUUCUCUAACACUCAUGCAUACAAUACAAUACAUACAACCAAUAUAACUGCACUAAAAACUUGUUAGCAUGCUCCUUUUAAGGAUUAGGGAUCGAUGUACUACUUUGGCUAUAGGUUGAAAGCUAAUUAUUUAAUAUCCCCACAAAAGAAAAUAACAAGAAAAAAUGAUUUUUCUUCUUAAUUUCUAAAUAGAGUGUGCGGCAUUUAUUUAUUGAAGAAAAAACUAAUUACCUUUUGGUUUGGUGAAUGACUUUCAUUUCCUGCAUGUGUAGAUUUGUAUAGUGAUAACAAGAAAGAUAAUCUGAGUUAUGAAAAUUGAUUCCGUGGAGGACCUCAUUUUUGAAGCUUUUGAGUUAUAAGUGUUGGAUUUUUUAAUUUGUCAUGUUAGGCCUUACAUAUGUAAUCAAUCAUGUAUCUAAAUCUAUAUUAAGGUUAUAUCUAUUUAAAGUGGUCUAAUAAAGAAUUCAAGUUAUUUGGCUUUGGGCAUCUAAUAUGGUAUGGCCCUAAAUAUGCAUAGAAAUCAUAUUCCUCUGAUUUGUAAUUCUUGAUGGGACCAAACACAUAUGAAAAAAAAAAUAAUAAUAAAAAAAAAAAUAUAUAUAUAUAUAGAGAGAGAGAGAGAGAGAUAUGGUCCCCAAACCGUACGUGAUUUCUCAUUCUUUAUGACAUCCCAUCAAACAUAAAAAUAACAGGAGAACGUAUAUCGUGGAGGAAGCUCUGGUACCCAUGAUCUAGAAUCAAUAACAAGGAAUCAAGAUUAAAAAGCAAUAAGCAAGAAUACGCAAUUCAAGAUCUACCAAUCAAACUCAUUCCCAAAGGAUUAAAGUAUGUUCUGUAUUUUAUAAUUCUCUUGGUGAUUUGAUAUAGAAGAUCUUGGCAUCAAUAAAUUGACAACGUUAACAAUCUUUUCUUUGUUCAUUGUUUGAAUCAAUCAAUGUAGAACAUUUUAGACCAAGAAAUUUAUCUAUGCAUGCUUCUAAUUUCAAGUUAAUUGGUGGUAAGUUGGUGGCCAUGUCCUACUCUCUUUGUUAUGUUAGGAUUGUUCAUGAACUGAAACCAAUUGGUUUAUGUCUCCUUUAGAGUUAUUUUACAUUGAGGUGUGUAGAGCCAAUGAUAAAAUGGACCUUGACCUUCUUGAAGGCUAAGUCAUAUAGAGCCACGUAGAGGUAAUGUUGUUAAGAUCGUGUCAUGUGUAGAUAGUUUCCACUCUACUGAUUAGCCUUUAAAACACGUCAAAUAGUGCCCUGCUUGAUUAAGGGGUUUUGCCUUCAUGGAUGAUCAACUCAUUGGUUUCGUGUUUUACUUAGAAUUUUACAUUUGAUCUGUAGGACUUGGAAGUCUUUUGAUCAGUUUCGAGUUAAGAAUUUGUUGCAUCUUGAUUCUUGAACUUGAACACUUUAAGUCUUGAACUUUGAUGUUUGAAGUGUAUGGCAUAAUUGGUGAGCAAUUAAGAAGACUGAAGUAUGGUUAAAGAUUAUGGUUAAGAAUACGGAGGCGGUCGUGCCCAAAUAAACACCUAAAAAGGUCCUCUAAAACUGAACUAGACGUGCUCAAUAUAUUAUUUUCACGCUUUCUAUUUUAUUUGAAUAAAUUUUCAUUUAAUAGUUUCUUAUUAGGUAAUCGAAAUAAAAAUAAGACUUGCAAAAUAAGGUGUUAUUGGAUCAAACGAAGAAAUGUCAAUAUUGGAUUUAAUUAAAAAACAACCUAUCUUAUGUAUGAAUUUGUUCUGUAUAUUCAGAAUUAAGUUGAGUACUUUUAUUAUAAGUUGUGAAUUGUGAUUGGGUCAUUAAUUUUGAUCUUAGUUCUUAAAAUAAUUUGAGCCUCUUUUAUUCUCAAAUUUCGGUAAAUGCUAGCUGUUGAGUGACUUGAGUCAAACACCAUGGCUCCUAAAUAUGUGUUGGGAGCUCAAAAAAGGAAGAAGUGGGAAAGAGUGGAGGCAUUAAUUCGAAGCCAAGCUAGAGAUAUGGAUAAGUACUUUAAUGGUAAGAAAAGAAACGAAAAUGAAGAAACACCAGCAAAUUUAACGAUUGAGGAACAACUGAAUCGGAAUGAUAGUGAUAAUGAUAAUUAUCAUGGGGAUGAACAGAAAGAGAACAAUGAAAUGAUUGAACUUUCCAAUAUGGAUGAGUCGAAACAAAACGAUGAAAAUGAUGCUCAACAUGAAUAUUUUAAAUCAAGAAAAUUGUUUUUCUUUGAAUUUUAAUGAUCCUGAAAAUUGAAGGAAAUUCACAUUAAUCAAAAGAUAAGGAAUUUUUUAGUUGAAAUGGGUCCAAAAAGAGUUGAUGACAUCUUGUUUCCUAGAGAUAGUCAAGGUAGACAUUUUGAUUCAUCACAAUAUAAGCGAUUAAUGGCAAAUGGGCAAACAAUUGAUAAAAGAUGGCUAGUGUAUUCAAUUUCUUUGGAUAAGAUUUUUUGUUUUUGUUGUUAGUUAUUUAAGAUAGAAAAAAUGAUAAGAAAAAAUAUUGGUCAAUUGGGUAAUGACGGAUACAAUGAUUGGCAUAAUGUGCAUCGGCAUCUUACAAACUAUGAAGUGUCUAAGGAGCAUAUAGGUUGCAUGAUUAGUUGAAUGGAACUACAAAAUAGACUUCAAACAAAACAUAUAAUUGAUGAAAGUAUACAAUUGUCCCUCAACAAAGAAAGAGAGAAUUGGAAACAAGUGUUUGCUAUCACGAAAAGACUCGCUAAAAAUAAUUUGGCAUUUCGAGGAGAUUGUGAGCAACUUCAUGUUGUGAACAAUGGACCUUUUUGCAAAUGGUAAAUAUGGUUUUUGAGUUUGAUCCAAUAAUAGAAGAACACAUUCAACGUGCUCAAGCACGCGAGAUUUAGUAUACAUAUCUGGGUCCUAAGAUUCAAAAUGAAUUUAUACAAAUGUUGGCAAACAAGGUGAGAAGUGCAAUUGUCAUAUAAGUGAAACAUGCAAAAUAUUUUUCUGUCAUACUUGAUUGUACUCCAUAUGCAAAUCUACGCAUUGUUCUCUUCUUCUCCCAUACAAUGGAAAUUUUUUAAAGAUAAGGUUCAAGUCUGACACUUAAACCAUUGUCACAAACAUCCUAUGAAGGUCAUAUGGAAAGUGUGAAGCCUAUAAAAAAACAAUCUAUACAAAUAAGAGAUGCUUUGAUUUGGCAAACAUUGUUGAAGAUCAUAAAACAAAAGUGAAGCUAUGUCCUUAACAACAUAUAAACUUGAAAAUUUUGAGUUUUUGCUUGGCAUAUUAAUUUGGUAUAAGUUGUUGCAUGCAAUCAAUACUGUGAGUAAAUUUUUUCAAGCCAAAAAUAUAGAGAAUCUGGGUUUGCUAGUGCCAUGGAUGAAGCUAAAUAGAUGGCAAGUGAAAUAAGACUUGAACCUGUAUUUCAAGAGAGGCGUAGCAUUCGAAGAAAGAAGCAAUUUGAUGAAAGUAGUAGUGAAGAUGUAACACACUCGGUUAAAAAAUCUCUUAGAAUUGAGUAUUUUCUCUUUAUAAUUGAUCAAGCUUGAUCAUCACUUCAAACUCGUUUUGAACAAUUAACACAUUAUGAAGAGAUAUUUGGAUUUUUGUUUAAUUUGGAUAAGUUAAAGAGUAUGCAAGUUGAUAGUUUGUUGAAAUCUUGAGCAGUAAUUAAAACAUAAUGGACAUUCAGACAUUAUAGGUGAUGACUUGUGUUUAGAGUUGAAAAGCCUUAAGGUGCUAUUUAACUAGAGAAACAAAAAGAUCAAUUGAUGUGCUACAUUACUUGAAGAAAAUGAAUUGUUGUUUUCUGAAUGAUUGCAUUGCUUACAAGAUUUUGCUCUCCAUCCGUGUUACAAUUGUAUCACCAGAAAGAAGUUUCUCUAAGUUGAAAUUAAUUAAGACUUAUAUUUGAUCAACUAUGCAGAACAAAGAUUGAAUGGUUUAGCCAUGUUAUCAAUUGAAAAAGAAAUAGUUGAACAACUCAACUAUACAAAAUUAAUUGAUAUUUUUGCCUCGAAAACUGUAAGACGAGCUGUACUUAAGUAAUCUUUUAGAACAUUUUCACAUUGUAAUUUGAUUAUAAUAUACAUAUUUUAAAUAUUUUAUUUUCUUUGUUUUAUUUUUUUAUUUUAAGUUAACAGAUUUAGUUCCUUAAAUCUCUUAUAAAUGAAAAAAAAAAUUAUUGCUAUGACUUAUGGGCUCAAAAUCUAAAGUUAGCCCCUUAAAACACAAGUCUGGCCUGGUUGGAUGUUCUUAGAAAUGGGUGAUUUGAAAUAGAUUUGGUAGUGAAGACCAUAUUAUUGAGUUGCACAAGUUGCUUUACAUGUCUAAUGUUCUAGAUCAAUCAUCCGAAGAGAGGACUAUGACUGACUAGGGAGCCAAACAAUGACGGAGACAAUAAUUAAAGCUUAACCAAAUUACAAGAACAGACUAUAUAAAUGAGAAAUUGAACUUAACACAACAAUUCCAAAAUUUUCUUGUGAAAAAAUGAAAUUUUUAAAGUGUAAAAACUUCUAUAAGUAUAAAAUGAAUAUUUUUAAAAUGGUUUCAUUUGUGUUCAUGUACAACAAUUAGACCGGUCUUAGCUAAGCAAGCAUGAUAUACAAUGCCAUUUAUUGAAUAGCUUAAAGGCUAAUGUCUUGAUAUCUGAAAACAACCAAGUUCUCAAUUUUUUUGGACUAGCCUAAUGGCAACCAAUGGCCUAUAUCCUUCCGAAUAGCUCAAUCGUAACAAUGUGUCUAAAUGGUCUUAUCGCAAAUGUAUAGUCAUCUUCUUAUGAACAGCUUGACGGCAACCAAAUUAUUCAAAGGAUCCGAUGGCAAUCAUAUGGCUCUAAAGGUCUAUCGAAAACCAUGUUAUUUCAAAGAGUUUGAUAGCAAUGGUGUUAUUCCAGACUGUCUAAGGGCAACUAUGUUGGCUCUUUAUCUCCCGAAGUGGAAUGAUUCUUGAAAUUUGGUUGGUGAGGUAACCUUGAACUUUGUUAAUGACAUUCGAGACUUGGCAAGAGAUCUACUUGCUGAGUUUAGUUCACCUAUUGAAUCUUCUGAGAGUAGAUAACAUGUUAGGGUCACUGAUGGCAUUUUUAGCAUUGGCUCUUCGAUAGUAAAUAGAGAAUAGUAAGUAAUAGAGUAAAAUUAACUGUUAAUCAAAAGAAGAUAAGAAAAUACUGAACGGUAAUGUAGUAAUGCACAAAUAUUAUUUGUAGGCCCUUCCCUGUCAUUUAAUUCUGAAAGGAUUUGUUAUCUUGAAAAUGAUAAAGUCAUUGAAAUCAAUAGUGGCACCAUAUUUCUCCCAUUUAAUCUAAGCCCAUUCCUUGGUAAGAACAUCUUCCAUUGUGCUACACAGAUAUUUGGUAAGUUCCUUAUAAAGGUUGGUAUUAGAGAGGAGUCAUUUUUGCAAGGUCGAUAUGCAGUUUGCUGAUCGUAGUUGGGGAUCGAGAUAUUCUUGAAGUUGAACCGUCUUACUUAUUUACAUAAGGAUUCAUUUUCGUGUAUCACAUGGUAAAGAUUGUUAGACCAAUUUUCUAACUUCCUGCUGCUAGUGAAUUGUACAAAAAAUUAAUUGUUCAUUGAGAGAAUUAUUUGGAAUAUUUGCAUAACACUCUGGGGCUUGCCCCUACCAAACUAUAGUCAAUCCCCUUACAUAUAUAGCCUCGUGGAGAUCUCAUGGAGCCACGACAAUAAUUUUUUUGCUUGUAUUGGGCUAUAUGUUCAUUCUGAAAGUCCCACAAUAAGGCUUCAUGUUAGGAAAGCAAAAGUUUUUGUCCAUUUCUAACAAAGCUACUAUUGAUGGAAGAAACUCUACGAUGUAGCUAGCUGCAUCUUCUUAAUAGGUGUUGGUACUCCAAUUACAGGAUAAACAACAACUUCAAAUUCAGCCAGCUUUCAUGUAAACUCUAGUUCCUGAUUGGUCGAUAGGUUGUGUUUUUUCCUCUUCCGACCCUGUAUUCUGCUGUGUUUUGAAUCAAACAUUUGAACAUACUAUCCCAAGUUCAUUUUAGUUAAUUGAAGGCAUUAACCUAAUCGAAGUUUGAAACUGUAAGUGGCAUACUAUCGACGGAUCAAUCACUAAUGAGUCUACCUUCUAUUUUUCUAAAGUCCUUGAUUUCUCAAACACAUCUUAAACUCUAACCGUCUAGACAAAGUUGAUGGUGAUUGAUAGGUAUAAUUUUUACACAUAUUCGGCCAUUAAAAGUGAAUAGUUGUAACUCAAAUUAUAAAAUUACUACUUAAUUUUUUUUAGAUGUGUGGUAAUACAAUGAUUUGGUUCCAAAGUAUCAAUGGGAGGUUGUCAUAUAUCACGAUUAGUGCCUAUAUAUAUAAGUUGGAUGACUCUAUAUGAGCCAAGGUAUUCGAAAUAUUUGGUAGUUGUGAGUCUGUUUGAUCAGAAUCUACAUAUUCAGUAUGGUUGGCAUAAUUAGAUGAGGAGAUGUCAUUUGAGAUAAUAAGAUUUUGUGUGAAACUAAGAUGAUUGAGAUUUAAACGGAGAGAAGUUGCUGUUGCAAUUAAGGUCUUUGAAAAGGAAAAUAUUUUCAUAAAAGAUAACAUUCAUUGAAAUGAAAACUUUUAUUGUCUCUAAAUACCACAAUUUGUAUCCCUUGAUGCUGAAGAGAUAAUCAAUGAAGAUGCACUUUCUAGAUCUAAGGUCAAACUUGUGUGGACCAUUGGCAAGGGUAAUGGUAAAGGCUAGGCAUCCGAAAACUUUUUAGGUGGGUUUGGUUUGGUUUUAAAUAGUAUUUCAAAGGGACUUUUAUGGUCUAAGAUGGGAUGAGAUAUAGGUGAGUACAAAAUCAUUCCAUACUUUAUUGGGAGUCCAUUUUGAAACUUCAAAGCUCUUGCCACAUUCAAAAUACGCUGAUGUUAUCUUUCUACCACAACAUUUUGCUCUAGGAUUUCUACACAUGUUCGUUGGUGCACUAUGCCUUUUCUUAGAUAAAAAUCGAUCAUAUUAAAUUCACCACCAUUGUCUAAUCAAAUGGUUUUAAUUUUGAUUUCAAGUUGCAUAUCCAUCAAGGCAUAAAAAUCUUGUGAAGUAGCGGCUGCAUCAGAUUUUAAUCUCAGCAUAUAAAUCCAUGUGCAUCUACUCAAAUCAUCAACAAUCGAUAAAAAAUAUUUAGAACCAUCUCUAUUGAUUUCAUUACAAGGAUCCCAAAUGUCACAAUGGAUUAAUUCAAAACAUUUUUUCUGUUUUGUGCUGACUUACAUUAAAGGGUGACUUUUGUGUUUCUUUGUUAAGGGACAAUUGGUGCAAGAAUUAAUACUAGAAGAAAUGGGUAUGUGGACUUUGCUAUCAAGAUUAAAAUUAGAGUAUGAGGAAUGGCCUAAUCUGCAAUGCUAUAUAUCAAAUUCUUGAUGCCUAUUGGUAGUUGAUGCAGGUAAGGGAAAUGAAAACUUGCAUUGUUUAAGAACUUCUAACAGAGCUGAAGGAGAAACUCGCUUUCACAGCAUAUGGUAUACUAUAUCUUCCACCUUACCCAUUCCAUUCAUUCUCCAAGUCAAAAGGUCCUGAAUAUACCUAUAGUUAGAAAAAGAAAACAAGGCAAUAGUGUUUGGAAUCUACUCAAUCAUACGCAGCAGAAAAUAAAAACAGAUUUCAAUUGUCCAGUUUUCAAUGAAAUUCCACACAGAGAACAAGAUUUUAGGAACUAGGGUUUUUGUCCUCUUGUGCUAGUAAGAAUAAAAUUCUAUACAAAUUGAAAACCCUAGUCGUUCAUUUAUAUAAAUCCGAACGGGCUUGGCCUGACCCGGUCUAGUAUUUAAUUAACCCAUUUAAUUAAAUUCAGCCCCUGAAUCAAUUCAUCUAAUUAAUUAAUACGGGCCUAUAAAUAAGCGACCCAAUUAAUUAAUUUAUCCGAUGCUUGUUAAAUUAAUUAAUUGGUAAAAUACAAUAUUCUAGUUCUUCUUUUGUGUGUGACCUAUUAGGUUCCCAAUCACGAUACCUAAAGACGUAAAUUAUUAUUUUGAUCUAAUCAAAAUCGAUAAAUUAAAACAUUCCUUUUUAUUUAAGACCAACUCACACUUGUCGUCCCAAAUUGACAUCUAGUAAUGUAUUAGGGCAAUACAUGUCACGAAAAAUGUCAUGUGAUAUGACAAAAUCAAACUUGUUUGUUUACCGUGAAACUAUAAUCCCUUCAUCAGUAUGAUCAGAUCAAUUACAAGUUAUGGAAAUAUGUCAAUCUCGAUUAUCGAUCAUAUAUUUCAUUCCAUUAUUAAGUCAAUAUAAGUCAAAAACUCAUUUUCAACUUAUGAGUAUACCUUGGCCAAAAAUUUCGUUAUCAACUUAAUUGAAUGAAAUGUAGAUCAUAAUCUCUUACUAUCUAAGAGUGACGAAUCCUCUAUUGAUCAUUCACAACCUUCAUAUGAUUCUUGACAUACUUAACGGUCCUUGGUAGAGCAACAUCCAACAUCACCAAAGUAUGACUGCCCUCGUAUGAGGCACUAUGAUGAUCUCAAUUCAAAAGACCAAUUCUAUUACCGACUUUAAAGAUUAACCACUGACAUUCAGAUAGUUAUCCAUGUGAAAUCUCCCAGCGGGUCUCCAAUGUUUUGUUCUAUAACAAAACAUCCACAUGUUCAUUCAAGUGUCACCACACUUUAGCUUGUGAAAUCAGUUACUUACUUCACAAGUAAGAAAUGCCAUACGUGAUGGUCUAUUCGUAACAAUGAUAUUCAUAUCUCGUUAUUACUUAAAACUACAGAUGAUUGGAGAUUCAAUUAUAUCUAAUUUGUAUCUUACAAUCACAACUCUUUGUGAUUAAUAAAUUACAAAGAUUUGAGUCUACGGACUUUAUUAUUUAAUUUAAUUGAAUAUUAAUUAAAUAAUAAAUUUUUCCUAAAAUUGCAUCAACUAUAUAUUAGAAGUGUUUAUGUUCAAAUUUGAUUGAACCUAGGACAUAACACUUACAAACUCCCACUUGCACUAGAUCCAAUCACUUAUGUAUCUAAUACCAUAAGAGCAUACAUGAUGAUCAUGUUUAUACUGCGAAAACUAUUUGUUAGUGGAUCUGCAAUAUCAUCAAUUGUAGAAAUUUGUUCCUUUCUUUGCUUCAUUUCUAUGUGUUAUCUCUCUGAUGAGAUUAUACCACUUUAACACAUGUUCAGAUCAUUGAUGAGACUUUAAUUCCCUCACAUGUGCGAUGACUUUAUUGUUAUCACAAUACAAUAACAUGUGAUCAACAAUAUCAGGAACUACUUUGAGUGCAUUAAUAAACAUCUUGAUCCACACUGCAACUAUUUGAUGCUUCUAAAGCAAUCGUGUGUUAGGUUUUUGCUCUUGAAUCAAUGGUUAUUUCAUGUUUGGAUCAUUUCCAACACACCGCUUAAGAGUAAGCCAAUUUCUUUAUAUAAAAUCUUGAGAAGAUUUUAUCUAUGUAGAUUGGGAUUACUUAAGCAAUCUUCUAGAUCUAUCUUCAUAAAUCAAGUUACUUCUCUCAUAUCGUUCAUGAAGAAAUCCUUUAAGAACCAUUAUUUCAAUGCUGAAAAGUAUGGAUGUCAUUUCGUAUUAAUAUUAUGUCUUAUAUAUAUAAUAUAAGGAAUGCUACAAUGCUCUCACCAUCUUGUUGUAAACAUACGGUUUAUCUUCAGUUUUGAUAAAAUCAAACCUUUUGAUUUUCCCAUCAAAUUGAAUGUUUCAACUCCAAGAGGCUUGCUUUAACUCAUAGUCACGGUAUGUAACUACUGCAACCAAAAUCCGAAUGGAGUUCAGCAUGGCUACAGGUAAAAGGCUUUAUUAAGGUCAACACUUGUCUUUGUUUGUAACAUUUUGCUACUAGCAUUGCUUUGUAUGUACAGAUAUCCCCAUCCAUGUCGACCUCUUCCUUAUAAAGGAUUUACAACAUAUGAGUUUUAUCCCAUCAGGAAGAUCGACCAAGGUCCAAACCUUGUUUUCAUACAUUGAAUUCAUUUUGGAUUCCAUGACCUCAUGCCAGCUAUUUAAGUCAACACUUGACUCUGUUUCUACAUAAUUAGUAGGUCCAUCAUCUCGAUUAAUAAUACUUGAUUAGUAAUCGUGAAUUCGCACAUUCUCGAAGGUCGAAUGAUCUUACCAGUUUUAAAUAGAGCUGUCAUGUUCUCAAGAGUCUCUACUUUCUGAUCAAAAGUGUGUCCCUCGUCAGGUAUAUGAUCAAACUCAGAUUCAUCUACCUGAUCAACAAUAUCUGUGGAUUCUUGAACUCUUUUAAGUUUUAUUUUGCUCCCACUGUUAUCUCCUAGAGUAAACAUUUUCUCUAAGAAAAUGAUAUAUCGUGAGACGAAAACUUUCUUCUCAAUGGGUUAUAGAAUUGAUAUCCAAAUAUCUGUUUUAGAUAUCCCACAAAUAUGUAUUUAUCAAAUAUAGUCUCAAACUUAUCCGAUUCAGCGUACUUCUCAUAAGUGUCACAACCUAAACUUUUACAUGAAAUAAGUUGGGCUUUUCCUUUUCCAUAACUCGUAUGAAGUUCUGUCGACUGAUUGGACAUGACUUAGUGUGCAGCACAUUUCAAUUAGUGCACGAGCCCAAAACGAUUUUGGAAGGUUUGCAUGACUUGUUAUUAAUCACACUAUAUCUAAUAGUUCACAAUUUCUAUUUUCAGAUACACCACUAUGUUGCAACAUAUGUAAAGGAGUCCACUGCAAGAUAAUCUCAUUCUCUUUUAGAUAAUAUAAAAUUUCAUCUUUAAGAUAUCUUAUCUUGACCGGAUCUUAGUAUGAGGAUAUCUUUACAUAUUUGUUUCUCUACUCUAGCUUGAAUCCUUUGAACCUUUCAAGAGCUUUAUACUUGAAUUUCAUCAACUUAACUGAAUGAAAUGUAAAUCAUAAUCUCUUACUAUCUAAGAGUGACGAAUCCUCUAUUGAUCAUUAGCAACCUUCAUAUGAUUCUUGACAUACUCAAACAAUGUCGUAUUAGCGGCCCUUGGCAGAGCAACAUCCAACAUCACCAAAAUAUGAUCGCUCUCAUAUAAGGCACUAUGAUGACCUCAAGUCAAAGGACCAAUUCCACUACCGAACAUUAGAGAUUAACCACUGACACUCAAAUAGUUAUCCAUGUAGAAUUUUCGAGUGGGUCUCCAAUAUUUUGUUUUAUAACAAAAUAUCCACGUAUUCAUUCAAGUGUUACCACACUUUAGCUUGUGAGAUUAGCUACUUACUUCACAAGUAAGAAAUGCCACACGUGAUGGUCUAUCCAUAACAACGACAUUCGUAUCUCAUUAUUAUUUACGACAACGAACGCUUUAAGAUUCAGUCAUAUGUAAUUUUUAUAUCACAAUCACAACUCCUUGUGAUUAACAAAUUACCAAGAUUUUGAAUCUACGGACUUUAUUAUUUAAUCUAAUUGAAUAUUACUUAAAUAAUAAAUCUUCCAUAAAAUUGCAUCAACUAUAUAUUAAAAGUGCUUAUAUUCAAAGUUGAUUGGACCUAAGGCAUAACACUUACAAACAGAUUAGAGAUUGAACAAGUUUCUUUGUAAAAAUUAUAUUAGAGGUAAAGCUAAGAAUUUAAAGAACAUCAUGGAGAGUGAGAGAUUUUGAAAAUUUGACGGUUCCUACAUGUGAGACAAGAACAUUUUCUCCAUUUGGUAAAGUAACAAAAUAAGAUACACUAGCUUGAUUAGAUGUAAAAAAUAAGUAAAGAAGUUCAUGUGAUAUGUUGCUCCUCUAUCAAGGAUCCAUGGAGUAUCAAAAAUAUUUUCUUGCUUGUGAUGGAAAGAAUUUUGGCAUGAUGGUAUACCAGACAUUUUAUGGAUCAUUUCAUUAGUUGAAAAAGGAGUAACAAAGGCCUGAACGUUUCUUACCAAAGAAGUGAAAGGUUGAGAGUUUGUUGGCUUGGGGAGUACCAUCAGCUGAGAGUACUGCUCGUGAUUUAGAGAUACUCUGCCAUUGUCCUUUACUACCUCCCGAGUAAAAGUCAUGCCUGCAGAAACCAUGGUAGCAACAGAUUUUCCAUAAUCAUUAAACUUAUGCCCUGGUGGAAAUCCAUGGAGUUUAAAGCAUUUUUUUGCAUCACGUCCUUGCAUUUGACAAUAAGAGCAAACUGGUCUACUUGGGUUUGUCUUAAAGCAACAUUCAGGAGAAUGGUCUGGAAUUAAGUGCAGUAAUAUCUGUCAUUUUUCUGUGAUGAAAGAUUUGGCUUGCCUUCUUCUCUAAAGUUUCUUUUACUAAGAAGAGGCAUGGAGUCAUAACUUAUGGUAUUUGGGUUGAAUAUUUCCGUCUCUUCUUUUCUUGUUGAAUUAGGGAUUAGACUUCAUUCAGGCUAGGAAAUGGCUUAAUCAACGAAAUUUGGGCCUUGAUUAUCUUUUAGGACUAAUUGAAUCACAUUAAAAAUUUCAUAACCCAAUUCCUUAGCUAGUUUUGAACUACAAUCUUUAAGCCUCCACUUGUAUAGUUAGGAAUACUCUUGUAGUUUGGCAAUUCAUCCAAAAUGAUUGUGAGUUUAGAGAAGUAGACACUUACAGGGUCUUGAUUAUGCAUUAAGACUGUGAUAUCCUUCUUGACUUCAAAAAUGUGUGAGGAAAUUUUGCUGAGAGAAAUGUUGCUCAAGGUCAAGCCAAAGAAAAUGAAUUGUCUCAGCGUAAAGAGUAUUGUUCUAGAUAUUUACAAUAUAGCAUUUUGCAUCCAUGUUUAACAACUUCUUUAUGCCUUAGCCAAUACUCUAUUAAUGGAUCUUUUACCUCAAAAAGGUUGCCAUCUAUGAACUUGAGCUCAUUUUUUUAUCAUUAAUGCCCUUCUUAUUGAACGAGCCUAGGAGUAGUAGUAGCUAGCAACCAAAAUGUGGGUAAUAAGCAUUACAGCACUUCCAUCAUUGCUGCCGAUAUAGUAAGGACUACUGGGUUGAGUUGGGUCAUGAGGAAAAACUCCUGAGUUGCUUCCACCAGGCUGCUGUAUGUUUUGGCUGUGAUUUGGACUGAGGUUGGUGUUUGGAGAGGAAUUUGUAUUCCCUACAUUGGAUUCUUCCGUUUAUAGUUUUGAUACCUUAUCAGAUUUUGAAGAAUAAAAUUCUAAUGCAGAAAAAUUGUGAAAAUGUAAGAAUUGUAUUCAUUCAAUCUACACAGUCAAUGUACAAAUUUGAGCGCUAUAUACAUGUAAAGGAAUCCAUAUCUAACUAAUUCUAUACAAAGAAUGCAGUUACAAAACAGAAAAUUCAAGCUGUACAAUCACAAAAUGUUAACCAUUCUUCUAUACUCUUCUGUUGCUACCUCGUCACUGAACUUAGCUGGCUUGCUUCCUGCUGACUGUGCCAAUUCUCUAGCUGAGCAAUAAUUUCAAGCUUCAACAUGUGUAUUUUAGAUAUCUGUUGAAAUUGCUGCUAAUGUUUGUAGUGUACAUUAGCGUAGACUGCCUUAAUGGCAUGGAAAAUAUUUCCUGUUGUGGUGAACUUGGCAAGAUUGUGCGCACAUUCAGGGGCGGAUCGAGAUUCUACGUUCAACUAGGGUGGUUGACUUUGACUUUGACCAUUAAUCGUUGACCAUGCUAAAAUUUGAUUAAAUAAUAUUAAAAACUGUUCGAUAUAUAUGAAAACAUUAUAUACAUAUGAAAAUAUAGUUCAAUACAACCCAAAAUACUAAAAAAAUAUACGAUACAACCUUACUCUGUAACUGUAAACUUAGACAACUGAAUUCUAUGAGGUCUCAUAUUUUGAAAACGUUGCAAUAUUGCCUCAUUCUUAACUUUUUUUAAAAGAUCUUUUUCCACAUAAACCACCAAAUGGUCAUUCAACGAGUCAUCUCCCAUUUUGGUGCGCAAGUCACUCUUGAUUAAAUUCACAGUGGAGAAUACCCUUUCAACACUUGCAGCUGCGACAAGUAAUAUCAAAACCAAGGUGAUCAGCCUAUAAACCAAUGGAAAAUAACAACUACUUCCAGUUUCAACCAACUUCUGAGCUACACAAGAUAUGCUUUUGAGGUUAAAGAAAGCUUUGUCCAUUCUCAUAAGCAUAACUAACUUGUCAAGUUCAGGUCUAAGUAAUAAAAGCUCGUCGCUAUUGAAGUCCAAAUGAUAGAACUGGGCAAGACGUACCAAUUUAGCCUGACCAAAAGCUGCAAAUGAACUUCUUGGACUUAAACACGAAAUGUAAUCAAAGAACUCAGUAGUUGUUUCUGAAAAACGAUCAUUCAAUUCUUGCAAGAUUGAGUCUAUCACAUGACAAAACAAAUCAACAUAAAAGCGAUGAUAAUAAGUCACUUGUUGAGCUGCACGCCUAGGCCGACCUUUCAAUACUACAAUAUCUUCCAUAUUGGGCACUGAAAUAUGUCUAUCAACACAAACCUUUUCAAUUAGAAUUGAUUAAAAAAUCACAAUUCUUAGUAAUAAUUCCUAAAUCCUAAUUUCCUUUGCUACGAAGAUAUGAAUUAAACAUUGAUUCACUAUCACUAAUAACUAAUAAGUAAUAAGUAAUAACAUGUACAACACUCAAGCCAAUCAACACUUCAAGUCUCCAAAUCUCCAACAGAGUCACUCAACUCAAGUCAUCCAAGAUUCCAAGUGCUCAACAAACUCUCAACACCGUCACUUCAGGCAUCAACAUACAACAAAUUGAACAAAGGGUCGGCAAAUUUCAGUUGCACCAGCACAAUUGCACAAAUCAACAAACACAAUACGUCAAGUCGUCAACACAGCAACACUCAAUUUCUCAAUAGUCAACACAAUAAAAACAGUCAACAGACAAAGACAAAGUUGAGACAAUUAGAAUUCAGACAACCAAAACAAUUCAAUUAACCAAAUAUUCAACUCUUCAACUUUAAAUAUUGAACUUAAUAAAUUUUAACUCACCAAUCAAUCACCAAUGCUGCAACCUACAAUGUACACUGCAGGCUGCUUGUGCCCGACCUCACCACUCACGGCUCACCUCGGACUACCGUCCUCGGAGUCUGUCUCUGGUCUGGUCGGAGAAGACAGAGAUUCCCCCCUAACUCUAAGACUUCGCACACAGCACACUGGCGGACACGCAUGUUCACCGGCUCAUCUCACCGCCUCCAUCUAGUGCUACUGCUUCGAAUGGAAAUUGAAGGGUAAGUCAAAGUGGGUAACUAGUAUCUAUAUAAGGGAAGGGACCAACUGACUAAGGGUUUGCGAUUUUAUGGCUGAUUUUAGGUUUGGGAGUUGGGAGAAAUAUCAAUUAAAACCAAUAUAUCCAAUUAUCCAUGGACCGUUGAAUGGAUCCAAUUUCUAUAUUUGGGCCAAAAAAAUUUUUUUAAAAAAAUAAGCCCAAUUUCAGUUAGAUUAGCCCAAAGAAAAAAUGAGAAAAGGGGUCGUCUUCUCCUCUUUCGGUUUCGGCUGAAACUGAGUUCCUCCGUCUGGAAUUGUUGCACGCAGGCAUGUCUACUACCAACCUGGCGGCCACUGAAUUGACUGAAGACUCCGGUGGAGCCAGCACGUGCGGUCGCGCCCCUUUGCAGGGUACUGGCUCUACCACUGCGCACAUUGGAUAAUCGAAAUUCCAAGAUUAGACCCUCUGAUUGAAAUUCCUUUCUAAAUAUAAUGUAGUAGAAUCAGAAGGGUUCCUUUACAAUAUCUUGGGGAAGUCAUAUUUGAAUAUAUGGUUAAUUUCACAAACGGUCACUGAAGUUACUCCAAAAUUACAAAACGGUCACUGAAGUUACAAACUUGCACUGACGGUCAUUCAAGUUAGGGGCGGUUUCAAUAAUGGUCACUGAAAUUUGUAAACUUGCACAAAUGGUCACUUUAGUUACCAAAAUGAUUAUAAUUCAAACUUAAGGACCAAAACAUGUGAUCAUACAAAAGGAGGACCGCAAGUGCAAAAUUAUAACCGUAAAACACCCAAACCCUUUGGAAAGUUUCACAACCAAUUUCCAUCUUAAUUGGGGCCGAAAAUGGGGGGAAAUUGGGCAAAAAUCUUGCCUAAUCGUCCAAUAAAUUGCUCCCAAUCCUAGGUGAGUGAAAGAGGAAUUAGAGCUACGCAACAAUAAACUGGCAGAGGAGCGUUGGUAUGCGCAGGGAUUAGCAUCUGCUGCUGUUGAGUUAAAGGCUCUGUCUGAGGAAGUUGCAAAACUAAUGAAACACAAUGAAAAAUUAGUUGGUGAGCUGGAAGUGCAAAAAAAUUCUGCAACUCAGCGUCGAAACACUAUUGCCAACAGGAAUGGCAGGAGAGAUGGUCAUGUGAAACGACAUGAGCAAAGUGUGUUGGCCUCAGUUAUGAAGAGAGAAAUGGCCCUGAGUUGUGAAAAAGAGCUUUCAUACGAAGCUGCUCUAGUUGAAAAGGAUAAAAGAGAAGCUGAUUUACAGAGGAAAGUUGAAGAAUCUAAACAAAGAGAAGCCUACCUAGAGAAUGAACUCGCAAACAUGUGGGUUCUCGUGGCAAAGCUAAAAAAGUCUCAAGGAGUUGAAAAAGACUAAUCAAAAAGAGAAGCAUAAGAUAUCUGAUGACUUUCAGAUAUGAAAUAGUCAGAUGCCAAUGUAAGGAUUUUAGGAGGUAGUAAUUGUAAGAAGAGAUUGAAGAGACAAAAUUUUCCUUGCUAGUUGGGCGGAUUGGGUUGUGCAUUGUAGAGUUGAACACUUUGUUUUAUUUUUUGCAUCAAAAUUUCUACUGUAAGCCAAAUCAAACUUUGCAUGAAGAUUCUUUCGCUUCUUAUAUAGUUGCAGAAAAAAUUUUGCCAGAAAAAUUUCUACUGUAAGCUACUCUUCGAUUUUGCCAAAAAAAUUGCAGAAUUUUUUUUCUUUUGCGGUUUUUCCAGAAAAAUGAAGAAUUUGAGGAUUUGGGUUCUUGAUUUCAAGCUCACCUAGGAUUGGGUACAAUUUAUUGGAUGAUUAGGCAAGAAUUUCUCCCAAAUUUCCCCCCAUUUUCGGCCCCAAGCAAGCUGGAAGUUGGUUGUGAAGCUUUCCAAAGGGUUUGGGUGUUUUAAGGUUAUAAUUUUGCACUUGCGGUCCUCCUUUUGUAUGGUCACGUGUUUUGGUCCUUAAAUUUGAAUUAUAAUCAUUUUAGUAACUAAAGUGACCAUUUGUGCAAGUUUACAAACUUCAGUGACCAUUAUUGAAACCGCCCUCUAACUUGAAUGACCGUCGGUGCAAAUUUGUAACUUCAGUGACCGUUUGUGAAAUUAACCCUUUGAAUAUAUGUUCUUGUUUUUCUUUAGUUAAAAUUUAUAUGUUGGAUUGUAUUAAGUGAAUGCAAGGAUGGUUUAGAGCAUGUUUGUUAUACAAGACUCUCAAUGGUGAAGGAGUAUUUAACUUGUAAUACUGUCAAGUAAGUCAAACAUGUCUUUAGACCUGUAUUCGGUGGGUUGGUUUCUAUAAAAUUUGUGAAUUUGAUAUUUUAUUCUUAACGCUGUUUAUUUUUAAUGGAUGUUGAUAUUAAUUGGAUUAUUUGUUUUAGCAUAGGUUUUUACUAAUAGAAGACAAUACAAUCUGGAGUAUUUACUGGUUACUCAAUUCUCUCUACUGAUUUUGCUCUCCAAAAUGAUGCCAAAGUUAAUUACGUUUCAAAAAUUGUAGUAGUAGUAGCAGUACUACUACUAAGAAUAAUAAUAAUUUACUCAAAAUUAAUUUACUUACCAAUAUCGAAUAUCUAAGUCGAUUAAUUUGGUUCAAUUAUUUACCAUUACUAAUUACGAAUAUUUAUUUUCUUAUUUUUAUAGAUAUUGGCAAUGGAUGCCAAUCGAGAAGCAUAUGAGACAGGAUUUAUUGAAAAGGCAAUUCAUUGAUUCGGAUGCCAUGACUAUUCUUAAGGGAUUUCUAUCCAAUGUAAGUCUCUAUCUAAUUAUUUAAGCUCUUAAACGAGAUUAUUUUUAAUAAACUUCAACGACAGUGAAGCAACAUAUAUAUGAAGUAUGGUUUCGUUAAACUGGGCCACUGUAAAAGAAUAAGUUCUAGAAUAAUUCUGCUUAUUCUUGAUGAAAACUAUGGAUAAGAAGGGAGUUUCUAUUUUGCAUUUGUGGAUGCUGAUAAAGAAAACUGCGUGAACUACCAUUAAGAGUUGAUUAAACUAGUGAAAAUUGGUGGAGUUAUAGAGUGUGACGCACAUUAUGGACUGUUACAACGGCAUUAUCAGACGAUAAAGUGGACAAAGCAAAUAGAGUGCACAUCAGAGACUUGAACACUUUCUUAGCAGCUGAUUCUCGUUCUGGUUUGGCUCAUCUUUCCAUUGGAGAUGGCUUCAAUCUUUGCGGUGCCUCAUAUAGCUUAUAAGAAGAAAAUAAGAUAUAACAACUGUUAUUGUUGUAAAAGAAAUUGAACUUUAUUGGUUACUCUGUCUAUUGUUAAGUUGUAUAAAUCAGUUCGUGUAAAUGAACAUCAUAAUUCAUUUGUUUGAUGUGUUGGUUAUUACAAUUUUAUUUGAAGCUGAAAAGGGGUUCCUUUUUUUGAGUAGGCGAUAAAUUUAUUUAUGUUUGGUGUAGAGAUGGAGAAGGGAGGGCCGUACUUGAGAAACAAAAGAGGAGUAAUGAAUGAGCAUUGGUAAAAAAGCAGGAGCUUGAGUCUGCUAAGAAGAAGAAGGUCCUUUUUUUUUUUUUUUUUUUUUUUUCAUUAGACUUUAAUCUGGUAAAUACUUCUUUGGUCACUUAGUUUGUUAACUGCAUGCAUACACAGUUUCUUCUCCUUUGUCUAAUUUUUUAUAAUCAGUCAUUUUUCCUAAUGUGGUAUGAAAUUGAUUUUGCUAGAUAUAUUUUGGAGGGCGAAGAAUUGGAGUUUUACACGAAGAAACUCCAGAGGAAGAAUGGAAAGGGUGCCAGUGGUUCUACAUAGAUCUCAAAAUUUUGCUACCAGAAAAUAUCGUCUUAUAAUACUUUCCAUUUUAUCCUUUGCAAUUUGCUUCCAGCUAUUGAGAAUUAGAUUGAACUUUUCUACUGUCAUACUAAUUAAUGUAUGUUGAGAAUUAUGUUAAGUUGGUUGAUGUUGCCAAUGGUUAAAUGUUAUUCUUUUUUCAUGUACUAGUAAAACUUAAAAGGGGUCCCGCUAUCGACCACUGGAUUCGAUGUAUGCGCGCAAAUAUGAUUAAUGUGAUUUUUUAAGUUAGUGUUAUUUGAUAUAUAUACGCAAAUUGAAGGAUGAAUAAUAUAUAUAAAAUUAAAAGCAUGUAGUAAUUUUAUUUUAUUUUUAGUAGAAAAUGUUGACCCUUGAAAAUGGCCAACAGAUUUCGUUGGAGGACAAUGUGCACAUGGACGUGCUUCGAGUGUGUUGAUUGUAAAAUAGAUAUUGUUGUGGAAGAAGAUGAAUAGUAGGCAAUGAAAAUAUUGUAUUCCCCUCUUUGUAUUUUUUUCAAGAUCAUUCGAUUGAUUUGUCCAUUGCCUAUUUAUAGUGAUUAUGCCAACGUGGUAAUCGUUGGAUUGAAUCCACGUGGUCUGAUUUGUAAACCCUAACAGUUAAAUCAACUCUAUUACUUAUUAAUUACAUUGAUAGACAUUUUUGACAAGAGAUUAGUUACUCUAUAAACUAGGCUGACAUGCCUGACACUCAUUAACUGCGCACGUCACAUUAGUCAACUGUGAAGACGUGCUUGUCUGACCCUCUUCCAGUUGUGAAGGACUUUGGAUAGUAGAGGGUGAAUCACUUCGGCAGAACUUAGUGCAACGAUAUCAGCACUUUAUUUGACAACUUCAGAUGUUAGUCCUUUCUACACCAAUUCUUGUGUACUUGCCAUGUGUAUGAAUGUGAGGUCUCCAAGUAGACCUUUCUGUAUUGAUUAGUAACAACAGUCCUCCAAGUUUAUUUAUGAUCAUUCAUGUGGUACAUAGAAUUUAUAAUUUCAUAAUUUCCAAGAAAAGAAAUCCAUGAUGGAUGCCAGACCCCAAGUCUAAUUUAUCAACAUCGAUGUGGGAAUUAAAAUUUAUGAGAGGGAAAUGACGUUGAAAUUUGAGUUUAUAGUCCCCCGAUUUAGUUUGGGUCUCAAUGGGGAUUAACUGAGGUGCUUUCGUAGCAGAGCCAAAGCUCUUAAAGUGGUAGGCUGAGGUACCUUUGUAGAGUAGCGUUGCCAAGGUUAUGAGUGCCAGAUAAAGGGGCUGGAUAGGGUUAACAUGGGAAUAUAUGAAGGGUCUUGAGCGUUACUAUGUAAACAGAAGCUCUAUGCUGUGUGAGACGAUUUUGAUAGUUUGAACAUCUUUCAUCAUUUAUUACCACAGAUUGCGAUGCUGACUUUUGGUCUUCUCGAGGAGGGCGAUAUCCUCAAUUUUCAGCGUAUUGCAUGUGUUUUAAUCUGGGCCUUGAAACUAAAACUUUGGUUUCAUAGAACGGCCUAUAAGUUUUCUGAAUUCCAACGGUCCAAAUCUUAAAGAUUUGACCGUAAAAAAUGCAUGUGUUUGCCUAUAAAAAGCUCAUCCUUUGCUUUGAACGUUCAUUUACUGGUACAAAUUACUUUGUUUUGUUUCUUUGCAAUAUGACCAAAAAUCAUACUUGGUGGAUUUUGAACGGAGUCGAUGUAAGUGAUUGCUUGGUUUUGGACAAUGUCAUGGAGAGUGCAAGUUGGGUGAUCCUUGGUGCAAUGUAUGGGAUGCUUGGAUUCAUGAAAAUGAAAAUGCAACCUUAGCACAAUCUUCUUUGAACGUACUGGUAACAAUGUUGAAGUGCGGAGGGUCGCCCACUGCCUUGAAUGAAUUAUGUUGCAAUAGGGUACGAAUCCCAACCGAAGUGCCUUGAGCCGCACUACGUAGAUCCACAGGGAUUGGUAUUAACAUACCUCUCCUAGGCAACUAGGUUACCUCCUCUGUCAGUAUUAACUAGGCAGAGUGUAUUGUGGCCAUAUCAUUGAGUUUCGACAUAGCCCGACAGAUCGCGUGAUUGUAAAUGUUGCGGUAUAUGGUGGAUCAUGCCCUUGUACUAGUCCUUCUUCUUAUCAUUUUGUAGGCAACUUCUGUGCCUUUUCACGGGGGUCAACCUUGAAAUGGUCUGACCCUUUGCAUUAUUCUGUCCAUGAAGCAAGUUUUUAUUUCUGAGGUGGACACAUUCGGGCUUUAUUGGAUUGAACCUCGUAGACGCUUGCUGUUUAAGCUCAUAUUUUGAAGUACCUCUAUGGGCUGGGCCCUUUGGGCUAUUUUUCUAUUCCUUUAGAGGAACUACCUUAGAAAAUGCCGUGCAUUUUGUUGAGGGCUUCGUUCGACCACUUCUUCCUUGUGGUGGUGAGUAGAUCAUGUCAUGUCACAUGCCCGAAAAUAAUGUAAAAUAACACGUAUAAUGGUACUGGUAGGAACGGUGUAAUGGGUCGUGAAAUAUGCUAGCCUUAGUUAUUACAUGCAAGCUAUUAGAAAUCUCAAAUUCAAAAGUAGAUGAUAAAACAACGGUAUUUAAGAACGAGGCAACUUAAUGAAAAUUUUCGCAAGUACUCGUAGUAGAUGUGCCCUAAAGCUUUUAUUGAAGGAAAUGAGGUUGUGUACCGAAGCUGCCUACUUCAAAUUCAUUAUGAAGGGAGUUGAUGUCCUCAUUUUUCGAAGCUCCUUGACCUUUGUGUUAGGCUGUUUUGAUAGUUGGUGCAUAGUCCUCCUUUUCAGGGUGUAUGCGUAUUUGGGGUGGUUCCAUGUGGGGUCUUCUUUUGCCAUUUUCUGGUUUCGGCCGAGGUGGUUUCAUCUUUACCUCUUUUUUGAACGGACUUUUACAUGGCUCGUUUUUAGGUUAUAAAUGAGGUAGGGGUACGUCUUUUGAUCUACUUUGAUUCUCUUAUUUGGAUGGGGCUGAAGUUUUUAGCCUCGGAAUAGGAGGAUCAACUCCCAUCUCUUGAGCCAAAGUUUUUUUAGGUAAGAUAAUUCUAUGAGGCUUAUGUCUGAGCUGCUUUGACUGGAGUGGACAAUGUCUCACUUUUCAGCCGUUGUUGUCGAAGGGUCGGCUUUUACUGGCUGACGUUAUUGGACCUACCUCGACAAUUAUAUGCUUUAGCGCCUCUUUCCACAAGAGGAGCUAAUCCGAGGUAGCCAAAAUUGACGCUCAUUUUUUCAGACAAUGUCUUUUGUCUUUCACAUAAGGAUGGUGGUUAUGACAUCUGUCUCCUGACUCUAUCUCUUGGAUGGGAUGGAGAAGACAACAUAUCACUUUUCUGUGGGGUUUGUGUCAUUAGUUCACCGACCUGCUGUGAAGGUCAGCUCAUGUGGGCCAGGGUUGUAAAGUCCGGCUUGGUAGUUAUAUGUCUUAGCACCUCUUUCUGCAAAAGGGCUUCCUUGGGCCUAUGUUUUUUUCUUCUCGCGCGAUCAAUCUUGGUUGGUCCGCAUCCGAGCUAAUGUAGCUCGUCUUUCACGCCUAUUCCUAGGGGAGGGAUGCAUGUAUCUAAGAGCUAGCUUAUCUGCGAUUCCCAAUUGAGGUUGUGCACGCUGAUCUUCCUAUGAAAAGGAGUUGAUUAGAUGUGGCCUAUUCGAGGCGAUAGGAGGGCACUUGGCUUGAGCUGGUGGAAUGGGAGGUCGGCCCUGUCUGUUUCUUGUAAAACCAAGCCUAUUGAAGACACUAGCUUGUCUCCUUGGCACGUUAGCCAUGCUGCCUUCCAAUGGAACAACAAUCUCCUGAGUUAUUCAACCGGUGUUGUAGUUGGCAACCAUGUCCAUAUUCGUCCCUCUUCCUAGGGGAAUGACUUUAUCGUUUUGUGGGGAUUUGGCCAGUUGACCUUGCAUGCAUUCUAGCAGUUUACGCAUUGCAGCGUUCUGUCGAGAGAUUGUUCUUACCUUUCUGAUGACGGUGACCAUCUCUCUGGUGAGCCUUACUGCUAGCCUAGGCCUGCUCCUCAAGCCACUUCUUUGGUGGCAAGUCGCGGGGGUGAUUAGCAACGGUUCCUGGAUUAUUGGGGUACUUUGUGAGGAUGUCUCUUCACCAACGUGUUCUUUGGCCUGUCUUGGUGCAAUUUCUUUCUUCUUCGGACUCAUAGCUGUUCCUUCUUGGUAGACAGCCCUUCUCUGGUUCUGUUUCAGGUGUUGUUUUCCUUUAUUCAAGGAUUUUUCCUUUUACUCAAAGGUUCUUCUCCUUGGCCUUUUUUGAAAAUUCAGGUAUUCUCUUUAUACGUGGAAUUUUCUUGGUUUAGUUGUUCCAAGUUUUUCACGAGCAACAGGUGUCGUUGAAGGACAAUGUGCACAUGGGCGUGCUUCGUAGUGUGUUGACUGUAAAAUAAAUAUUGUUGUGGAAGAAGAUGAAUAGUAGGCAAUGGAAGUAUUGUAUUGUCCUCUUUAUAUUUUUUUCAAGAUCUUUCAAUUGAUAUAAGUAUUGUCUAUUUAUAGUGAUUAGGUCGAUGUGGCCACCGUUGGAUUGGAUCCACGUGGCUUGAUUUGCCGACCCUAGCUAUUACAUCAACUCCAUUACAUAUUAAUUAAAUGUGAUAGACUUUUAACAAAAGGUCAGUCACUCUAUAAACUAGGCUGACAUGCCUGACACUCAUUAACUGUGCACGUCACAUCAGUCAACUCUGAAGACGUGCUUGUUCGACCCUCUUUUGGUUGUAAAAGGCUUCGGAUAGUAGAGGGUGAAUCACUUCGACAGAACUUAGUACAACGACCUCGAUACUUUAUUUGACAGCUGAGGAAGUUAGUCCCUUCUGCACCAAUUCUUGGGGUGCUUGCCAUGUGUAUGAAUGUGAGGUCUCUAUGUGGCCUUUCUGUAUUGAUUAGUAACAGAAAACAACAAUGUGCAAUGAAUGUUACUAAAAAUUAAUGACGAUGUGGCAAAAACAUAUGCUAAAAGGCAAAUGCAAUAUGCAAAUAGUGAUGCAAAAAAGCAAAGGCAAAACAUAAAAAAAAUGUUGCAAAUUAAAACACAAAGGCAAUAUGCAAAAAAGUUGUAAAAAUGCAAACACGAUGAUUUUUAAGGUAAAGAAGAUAGUGAGAAGAGAACGUUGCAAAAGGUAUAAGUGCACAUUCAUUGAACAUUGCAAAAAAGUAAAUGGCAACAUUCAUUUGCACCUUUUGCAAUAUGCAAUGUACAUUGUUGUAUUCUUUUACCCUACGAGAACAUCUAAGCUCGCAACAUACAUCUGAAUGUUGCAAAGGAUGUUUCGCAAUGUUUUUUGCCCAUUACAUGAUAUUGUUUUUGUUAUAGUGCAUAUUCAUCACUUUAUUACUUAUUCAUGAUAUCGUACAAUUAAGAAAUUUUGUUGAUCAAUGACACCACUAGAUCACUAAUCUCUUUAGAUAGACUCUAUUUAGAGGCAUUCAGAGGUAAGAUCAUAUAUGAUUGUUUUGUUCAACUGAUUAAGAGGUGAGAUCAAACUAGAUAUGCUCUGCUGUUGGGAUGAUGUGUCCCGCUAGUGAGGCAAUCCCAUCUGCAGGUUAAGUGCCUAUUUGACAACCAUUCUUGUAGGAAAAAUGUUUUAAAUAGCGAUUUUUAGAAGAAUGUGUUGUUAAAAAAAUAGGAAAAAUUUUAGAACUAGGCGAAGAAUAUUUUUUGUGGAAUGUAUAAUUGAAAAUGAUCAUGUAACAAUAUAUAAAUUAAAUUAUUGAGAAUCAAACAUGCCCUAAAUUUUGUCUACUAGGUUGUGUUGACCUUGUAGUGAUGAAGUCUUGGAGGUUUUGAUUUUACCCAUUGGUUUUGGACCAUGGUUCGGGUCUUCUAUUAUUUACACGUUAGGACAAAAGUGACAUCUGGUUAAUUGGGCUUAUAUUGUGGGCCUCAUUUGAUAUCUUGGGUUAGUGAGGCAAUUUUUGCCGACUAUAGUUUCUAUUUUUUUUUUUUCUCUCUCUCAAUAAAACUAUAUUUAAUGAUUACCUAUUAAAAGAUUCAGUUAAAAAUUUAGAGGGUUAAAAGGAAAAUUGCCGCAUGGACUUUAGCCAGUGGUCUAUGUAGAUAAUUGAACCCUUAUCUUUAUAUCGCUAUAUUUGUUGACGGCUUUUAUUGCUGCUCAUCAAAUAAAUUAGCUUAUCAUUUAACUUUCAUAAAUUAACUCAUCUUGUCCCAAUCACAACCAAAAAAUUAUUAGAAGGGAAUAAAACACUUAUUUGCCCUUAUAUUUUUAAAUAAGCCGUAAAUAACAAACACAUUUCAACAAAAUAGUUUGACCUUACUAACAUAAUAUUUGGACGGAAAAAAUUAUAAAAAAACAUACUAAUUGAUUAAAUUAUUGUGCAAUUAACAAAAAAACAUGGAGUUAAUAUAAUUUCCUAUUCACAUAGCAAAACUUUGUCUUUCUUUUCAUCGGAUUACUAAUGUCGAGUAAUUUAGAUGAUAAACAUCUCGAAGCCUCUCAAGAAUUCAUUUCAACUUCCUGUAUUGUUUUAAAUUUACGGCAUUCAUUGCUUCUAUCCAAGUUCCCGCGUUGUUUUAAAUUUACGGUGUUCACUGUUUCUAUCCAUCCUUGGACUUUAGUCAAGAGACCAAAAUAUUUUCAUAUAUUUAAUUUCAUUUAAAGGCCUUCUUUGUAUAUUUCACUCAUUUGUAUGUACAAUAAAUCUACUUUUGAUCCAUUCAAUUCGAUGAAACUCAAGGGAGAAGACAGUUUGCAUGAUAAAGACAGUCAAUACAUGUGUUUUAGGUAAAUUUUGAUAUCCUAUAUAUCCAAGAAAAAAUUGCAGAUUCAUGUUCCAAACAUUAAUUUUUAUUGUCUAGUGAACAAAAAAAUGUUUAGUAGACCUUGCCGAAUAAGGAAACUUCUAUGUUGUUUAUUUAUGUUAUUAUUUUGUAGAUAAGGUUUUCUUACUCCACCAAUAGCUACGAGGAGAAUUAUAUAUGUUGAACCGUGUCAUGUAGAUGACAAAUAUUCCGAGUUUUUAUCCGUCCUUGUUCAUUAAAACUUUCACAUGUUAGAUGGUUAUUUAAAAGUCAUGAAUUUUACUUGCACAUGAUAUAUAGUUGUAACAAAGAGUGUUAUGAACCGUUUAGAAGAGAAAAUUGCUUGCAAUGUCCCUAAUCGUUGUACCUUUAUAACUUUUAUGUCUAAUCUUUAAUUUAUUUCUUGAUAGUAUUGCAAAAAAUCAUUUCAAUUGUUAGCACUGGGGUCCUUAAUGAUUCUGAUUGUUAAAAUUAAAAAAACAAAAAAAAACAUAAAUGGUCACAUCAGCCUCACGAUUAAAUAAGUCAGAGUAACAAUGUACCAAAAAAGUGCGGCCGGGCAACGAACACUUUGCCUUGGUGGUAAGCGUAUAUUAAGUAUUAGCUCUCCGCUUAAUGUGUUCCUGUGCCAAGGCUCGCUUUACUAUUAUUACUUUUUUAUUUAAAAAAAAUUGACUUUAGUUUAUCAACUUUUUGUUAUUUUUUUUUAUUUUAUUAAAAGACCUUUUCUUUAUUUUAUUUUCUUUAUUUUUUUAAUUUAGUUACAAAAUUUUUAAAAAGAUUAUCCAUACAAAAGUCAAAGAUGACUUUAUCCGAUAAAGAUUUAGAUAAGAUUUAAGUUACGAUGCUAUCCAUUUUAUCCAAUUAUGAUUCCGAAACUUAUCGUUUUGUUGGAAAUUUCUAAAGUAUUUACGAAGUUUCUAUAAAUUUGUUAAGUAGAACUUGUAGAUAUAAAAUUGAAUCUAUAAAAAAUAGUCUAACUUUUACAUUUCUGAAACUUGAAAAAUUGUAUAAUUGGCUUAUUGUAUGAACUAUUAUGUAAAUAUAGUAUUUUAUAAUUUUAGAUGUUUUGUAUGCAUUAUUUAAUUAAUUAAUAAAUAAUUUUUAGAAUGAUUAGGUAUUUAGAAUAGUAAUAAAAAUAAAUAACUUUUUUUUUUUUNNNNNNNNNNNNNNNNNNNNNNNNNNNNNNNNNNNNNNNNNNNNNNNNNNNNNNNNNNNNNNNNNNNNNNNNNNNNNNNNNNNNNNNNNNNNNNNNNNNNNNNNNNNNNNNNNNNNNNNNNNNNNNNNNNNNNNNNNNNNNNNNNNNNNNNNNNNNNNNNNNNNNNNNNNNNNNNNNNNNNNNNNNNNNNNNNNNNNNNNNNNNNNNNNNNNNNNNNNNNNNNNNNNNNNNNNNNNNNNNNNNNNNNNNNNNNNNNNNNNNNNNNNNNNNNNNNNNNNNNNNNNNNNNNNNNNNNNNNNNNNNNNNNNNNNNNNNNNNNNNNNNNNNNNNNNNNNNNNNNNNNNNNNNNNNNNNNNNNNNNNNNNNNNNNNNNNNNNNNNNNNNNNNNNNNNNNNNNNNNNNNNNNNNNNNNNNNNNNNNNNNNNNNNNNNNNNNNNNNNNNNNNNNNNNNNNNNNNNNNNNNNNNNNNNNNNNNNNNNNNNNNNNNNNNNNNNNNNNNNNNNNNNNNNNNNNNNNNNNNNNNNNNNNNNNNNNNNNNNNNNNNNNNNNNNNNNNNNNNNNNNNNNNNNNNNNNNNNNNNNNNNNNNNNNNNNNNNNNNNNNNNNNNNNNNNNNNNNNNNNNNNNNNNNNNNNNNNNNNNNNNNNNNNNNNNNNNNNNNNNNNNNNNNNNNNNNNNNNNNNNNNNNNNNNNNNNNNNNNNNNNNNNNNNNNNNNNNNNNNNNNNNNNNNNNNNNNNNNNNNNNNNNNNNNNNNNNNNNNNNNNNNNNNNNNNNNNNNNNNNNNNNNNNNNNNNNNNNNNNNNNNNNNNNNNNNNNNNNNNNNNNNNNNNNNNNNNNNNNNNNNNNNNNNNNNNNNNNNNNNNNNNNNNNNNNNNNNNNNNNNNNNNNNNNNNNNNNNNNNNNNNNNNNNNNNNNNNNNNNNNNNNNNNNNNNNNNNNNNNNNNNNNNNNNNNNNNNNNNNNNNNNNNNNNNNNNNNNNNNNNNNNNNNNNNNNNNNNNNNNNNNNNNNNNNNNNNNNNNNNNNNNNNNNNNNNNNNNNNNNNNNNNNNNNNNNNNNNNNNNNNNNNNNNNNNNNNNNNNNNNNNNNNNNNNNNNNNNNNNNNNNNNNNNNNNNNNNNNNNNNNNNNNNNNNNNNNNNNNNNNNNNNNNNNNNNNNNNNNNNNNNNNNNNNNNNNNNNNNNNNNNNNNNNNNNNNNNNNNNNNNNNNNNNNNNNNNNNNNNNNNNNNNNNNNNNNNNNNNNNNNNNNNNNNNNNNNNNNNNNNNNNNNNNNNNNNNNNNNNNNNNNNNNNNNNNNNNNNNNNNNNNNNNNNNNNNNNNNNNNNNNNNNNNNNNNNNNNNNNNNNNNNNNNNNNNNNNNNNNNNNNNNNNNNNNNNNNNNNNNNNNNNNNNNNNNNNNNNNNNNNNNNNNNNNNNNNNNNNNNNNNNNNNNNNNNNNNNNNNNNNNNNNNNNNNNNNNNNNNNNNNNNNNNNNNNNNNNNNNNNNNNNNNNNNNNNNNNNNNNNNNNNNNAUCUUCUGAGACUUUGCAAUCCGUUUUCAAAAUAAUUUUUUUGUUGAUAAGAUCGUCUUAAAAUUUUGAAAUACGCAGUACUAUUGAAAGAAUUUCUUUUUUAAUAGUACAGUAAUUCAUUUGAAGGUCGGUUCACACACCACUGUGAUACCUAACUAACUGUUCUUGAGAUGACUCUAGUGGAAUUUGUUUUAACACACCACCAUAUCCAAUAUUCGAGGCAUUUGUCUUAGUAAUAAUUAAAGCUGUGGGGUCAAGGAUUGAAAGACAGGGAAUAUUUUUGAUUGCUUUUUUGACAUUUUGUACUGCAACUGUGUGUUCAUGACUCCAUGGAUCAGGAUUGUUUUGUAAUCUUUUAAAUAAAGGAGCAUAGGUUUGACGUAUACUUUUGAAAAAAUCAACCACAUAAUUGACACAUCCUAAAAAACGUUGCAAACUUGUUUUAUCUAUGAUUUCAUCUGAAAUUUUGUCAAUGAAAUCAAGACUUCUUUGAAUUGGAGUUAAUGUACCAAAAUGAAUGUAAUGUCCAAGAAAUCAAAUUUUUGUUUUACAUAAAACAAUUUUUUUAGCAGAAAUAGUUAAACCAUUUUUCUUAGUAAUAUGAAUAAAUAUAUGUAUAUGCUUGAAAUGUUGCUCUAUACUUUUAGAAAAUAUAAGAACAUCAUCAAUAUAAACAGUAAUGAAAUUUGAAAAAGGAUUAAAAAUAUCAUGCAUAAUUUUUUGAAUUCAGAUGGAGUAUUUUUGAGACUGAAUGGCUUAACAUUCCAUCAGUAUUAUCCGAAAGGAACAUUGAAAGCAGUCUUGUAUCUAUCUUCUUCGUCAAUUUGAAUUUGCCAACAACCUGAUUUCAUAUCAAAUUUUGAAAAGAUGAUAGCUUUGCAAAGACGAUUCAGAAGAUCUUUCUUUUGAGGAGUAGGAUAUCUAAUCCAUUGAAGAGCAGUAUUAAGAGGUUUAUAAUUGAUCACCAAACGAGGAACUCCUCCUUCAAUUUCAGCAGAAUAAUUGACAUAGAAAGUUGAACAGCUCCAUGAGAUUUACUUGAUCGGAUUAAACCUUUCUUAAGUAAACCAUCAAUCUCUUUGAUGCAAAAAUGAAGUAACUCUUUGUUCAUUGAAUAGGACGAGAUUUUGUAGGAAUAUUUGAUUCAUGAAAAUCAGAAUUAUAAGGAAGAGAAACGUGUUUCUUUCUAUCCCAGAAGGCAUUUGGAAUACUUGAACAAAUUUAUUUUUCAAUUUUAUUUUGAAAUUGUAAAAUUUGUUCUUGAAAAAAAGAUUCUUGCAAUCUUUUUUCCAUUUUUUGAAAUUGAAUUUCUUCUUUAAGAAAUUGAAUAUGAUUACGCUUUGAAUUAAUAUUAUUAAUAAUUUUUGAAAUUGCAAAUUCUUUUAAAGAAUUAAUAUCUUUAUAAGAAGGAGGAUUUGAAAAUUCAAAAAAUAUUUUUUGAUCAAAAAUUUUUGUAGUUAAUCCUUUAGCAUCGGCUUUAAAGGGAUAAAUUUGAACAAUAAAAGGAGUUCCAAGAAUAACUUCUUGAUCUAAAUUUUUUACAAGAUAAAAAACACUUUUGGAACAAAUAUUUGAAUUACAAACAUGAGCUUUUGAAAUUUUGUAGUUAAUAAUAAGCUUUUUCCCACUAGCACCAUAACGAUGCUCAGUAGUUUUCUCAAAUUAUUUUGUAGGAAUUAAGUCUUCUUUGAUACAAUUUUGAUCUGGGCCUGAAUCAAUAAGGAACUGAGUUGUAAAUUUGAUUUUUUUAUUUACAAUAAUGGUCAUAUUGCAAUACCAUUUUUGAAGUUGAAUUCGGUUAAUAACAUUAACCUUUUCUUCUUCAAAUUUAAGAAUUUCGAAAUCAGAAUCUAAUAGGUAAUCAGAUGAGGAUUUAGAAUGUUUUGAAGAUCGCUUAGAAGAAACUUUCGAUUUUCCUUUGAAUUUUGAAUAAAAUUCAUCAUUUAAAUCUUUUGCUUUCAUACAAACGACCUCCAUAUGAAUUUCUUUGACUUGAUUUCCAAGAUAUGAGAUUUGAGUUUUCAUAGUUUUAAUCUCUUCUUGAAGACCAGGAAUAGAAGGUUUAGAACUCUUUAAAAAUUCUUUUUGAGCAUGUUUGAGAAUUUGAUUGAUAUUGAUAUCAUCAAAAUCUUGUUUUGAAGUAGAAGGUAAAAAGGAGGAGAAUUUUUUCUUGAGAUUAGGAUUAUCAAUUCUAUCAAUAAUAUCUUGAAUAACAUCUUCUUCUCGAAAUAAAACAUUUAUAGUAUUACAACCACAAAUUUCUUCAUUAGAGUUUGAAGAAGUAUUAGAGGAAUGAAGAUAAGGUUCAUAAUCAGAAUCUUCUUGAUUAAGAAAAACUUGUUCUAAUUCUGAGUUAGACUCAUUAUCAGAACUUGAUUUAAUAAGAUUGAGAAGUUGAGCUUUAGUAUCUUCAUCAAUUUGAAGAUUACUAAUUUUCUUUUUGAGUGGACAUUUAUUUAUGGGAAUAAUGACCAGUCUUAUUGCAUUUCCAGCAAGUAAUACUUGAAUUUUUUUUUGAAAUUUUCUUUUUUGAAAAAUGUUUUCUUUUUGAAAAUUUUCUUUUAUUAGUAACUUCUUCUGAAUAAUUUUUGGAAUAUUUUCUUUUAGAAAAUUUCCUACUUUGAGAAAUUUUUUUAGAUUUUGAAGAAGGAGGACUGAUUUUUUCAAAGUCAUGUUCAGAGAAAGAUCUAAGUUCUUUUCGACUUUCAAACUUUUCUGUUUUCAAUUUAGGUUUGAGUUUUAAAUCAUUGCACAAAUUUAAAGCUUCACAAUUAAUAGAAUUGAUAAUUUCACCAUAUGUGAGUGUUUGAAGGUCAUCAAAUUCUUUAAAAAUAGAAUUUUUGACUCUUUCUGCAAAGAGUUUUGGAAGACCUAAAAUAAAUUUUUCUUUCCAAAAAGAUUGUUGACAAUCUUCUCUAAUCAUGAUACGAGAUAAAAAUAUAUCUUUGUACCAUCGAAAAUCUUGUAGUUUUGGACAUCUUAAAUUUAUUAAAGUGUCAUUUUGCAUUUGAACAAUAUUUUCUCGAGUACCAAAAACUUUGAAUUGAAUCCAAUCAUAGAAACUUAAAUCAGUAGAAGAUUUAAAAUAAUCUUUCCAAUAAGAUUCUUUUUGUUUUGAAGAAAAACUUUCUCGAAAAAGUCUACUAAAAUUUUUGACACAAAUGUCUUGGUCAUCUUUGAAUUCUUUUCUUCUAUCAAUUUCAGAAGAAAUAACAUUACAUUGAUUAUCAAGAUUGGAGGGAGAAACCAUAUCUGAAAAAGUUGGUGAUUCUGGUUGAUCAUCAUCUUUUUCAUAUUCAUUUUGAAAAUGAGGUUUUGGAAUAAUAUGAGUAAAAUUUGCUCCUUUAUAUGAAGAUUGAAAAGAUGAUCUAGGUUUCUCUUCAGACCUAGUAGAAAAAGAUUUAGUAGAAUAAGAUCUUUGAAUCUUUGAGGAUGAACCUUUGAAGAGAAUCUUAGCUCUUCCAUUUGGAAAAGCAAGAAUUUGAUUUGGAAUUAUUCUAGUUUGAGCAGGAACAGGUGUUUGAAUAUUAUCAAAAUUUCAUUCGAGUCCACAAGAUUGAAGAUUCCAUGGAAUUCUUUUUGGAAUUUCGACAUUUGAGUGGAAAGUAUUAACUUCAACUAUAAGACUUUCAUCUCUUGGUGAAGAAUGAAGGGCUCCAAUAUUGAAUUGAGUAUUCAUAAGCUUAUAAUAUACUCUGUAUAUUAUAGCAAAAGCAUUUGAUCUACUAUCAAAUUCAAGAUUUUUAGUUUGAAUAUGAAGAUUGAGAGAAUUAGGAAUUGCUCCAUCAGUGAGUUUGAUAGAAAUAUUUAGAUAACAAUUUGAAAAUACUGGACCACUUUCAAGAUUUGAUUCAAGAAGUGAAAGUAAUGAAUUUUCAAAAUUGAGAUGUCUCGUUUCUAAGAGUAAUAAGAAUUGGAACAUCAAAACCAAGUCUAAAUAAGGGCUUGACUGCUAUUUGAACUAAUCCAACAUUAAGAUAUUUAAAUUUCUUCUUGUGGGAUUCAAUAACUUCUUUAGUAAAUAAAUUAAUGAAAAAUUUUGACUAUUAAUUGAAACAGUUUGUUCAAUAGUUUUGAUAACAUAAUUUUGAUAAAAAUCAAAUUUUCCUAUUUCAUAGAUGGUAUGUUUAUCCAUUUUUGGAAUAGUCCAAUUUUGAAGACGUUCAAUUUGAGCAAUUUGAAGUUCAUGAGAAUUAAAAUCAUUUGAUGCAGAUGAUGUGAUGCAUUAUCAACUUCUUCUUCUGUUUGAAAAACAUUUGUUCUAUUCUCAUUUAAUUGAUUUUCUCGUCUAUUUCUAGAUCUCGAUCUCCUUAACCAAUUUGUUACUGAAGACAUAAUUGAAUUUAAUGAAAUUAAAACAAUUUAUCAAAAAUAAAAACAGUUAAAUAAGAUAGACUGAUUCUUACCAAGCCUACAAACUGGACCACCCAAACACGCCUACCCCGGCAAACAACGGGCUGACCAACAUCUAUUCAGUAGACAUCCCGAAACUAAAUCAGGUUUUCUUAUUUGAACAGUGCCUAUAGUGAUAAAUCAAAGUACAGAGACCAGGGUCGUUACAAAAAAAUGCGCAUUUUUUUGUAACGACCCUGGUGUCUGUACCCAAACCGUUAUCUUACAUACUGUCUGCUUUGGAUGGACCUUGAGCCCACUUACCCCUCACCACUUUCUGUCGCGUCUCCCAGGAUUCGAACUCAUGACCUUUCCCUUAAGUAAGAUUUAAGUUGAAUCCUGGUACCAAUUGGGCAAGUGGUACCAGAAUUUAACUUAAGUCUUAUUUAAGAGAAAUGUUAUGAGUUCAAAUCCUAGAGGAUGCGACAGAAAGCUGUGAGGCGUAAGUAGGCGCAAGGCUCACUCAAAACGGAUAGUACGUAAGCUAACGACUUGGGUAUAUAGACUCGGAUCGUUACAAGAAAAACGUUGUUGGACCUAAGUUCAGUGACCAUUGGAACAUCUUCUUCUCGAAAUAAAACAUUUAUAGUAUUACAACCACAAAUUUCUUCAUUAGAGUUUGAAGAAGUAUUAGAGGAAUGAAGAUAAGGUUCAUAAUCAGAAUCUUCUUGAUUAAGAAAAACUUGUUCUAAUUCUGAGUUAGACUCAUUAUCAGAACUUGAUUUAAUAAGAUUGAGAAGUUGAGCUUUAGUAUCUUCAUCAAUUUGAAGAUUACUAAUUUUCUUUUUGAGUGGACAUUUAUUUAUGGGAAUAAUGACCAGUCUUAUUGCAUUUCCAGCAAGUAAUACUUGAAUUUUUUUUUGAAAUUUUCUUUUUUGAAAAAUGUUUUCUUUUUGAAAAUUUUCUUUUAUUAGUAACUUCUUCUGAAUAAUUUUUGGAAUAUUUUCUUUUAGAAAAUUUCCUACUUUGAGAAAUUUUUUUAGAUUUUGAAGAAGGAGGACUGAUUUUUUCAAAGUCAUGUUCAGAGAAAGAUCUAAGUUCUUUUCGACUUUCAAACUUUUCUGUUUUCAAUUUAGGUUUGAGUUUUAAAUCAUUGCACAAAUUUAAAGCUUCACAAUUAAUAGAAUUGAUAAUUUCACCAUAUGUGAGUGUUUGAAGGUCAUCAAAUUCUUUAAAAAUAGAAUUUUUGACUCUUUCUGCAAAGAGUUUUGGAAGACCUAAAAUAAAUUUUUCUUUCCAAAAAGAUUGUUGACAAUCUUCUCUAAUCAUGAUACGAGAUAAAAAUAUAUCUUUGUACCAUCGAAAAUCUUGUAGUUUUGGACAUCUUAAAUUUAUUAAAGUGUCAUUUUGCAUUUGAACAAUAUUUUCUCGAGUACCAAAAACUUUGAAUUGAAUCCAAUCAUAGAAACUUAAAUCAGUAGAAGAUUUAAAAUAAUCUUUCCAAUAAGAUUCUUUUUGUUUUGAAGAAAAACUUUCUCGAAAAAGUCUACUAAAAUUUUUGACACAAAUGUCUUGGUCAUCUUUGAAUUCUUUUCUUCUAUCAAUUUCAGAAGAAAUAACAUUACAUUGAUUAUCAAGAUUGGAGGGAGAAACCAUAUCUGAAAAAGUUGGUGAUUCUGGUUGAUCAUCAUCUUUUUCAUAUUCAUUUUGAAAAUGAGGUUUUGGAAUAAUAUGAGUAAAAUUUGCUCCUUUAUAUGAAGAUUGAAAAGAUGAUCUAGGUUUCUCUUCAGACCUAGUAGAAAAAGAUUUAGUAGAAUAAGAUCUUUGAAUCUUUGAGGAUGAACCUUUGAAGAGAAUCUUAGCUCUUCCAUUUGGAAAAGCAAGAAUUUGAUUUGGAAUUAUUCUAGUUUGAGCAGGAACAGGUGUUUGAAUAUUAUCAAAAUUUCAUUCGAGUCCACAAGAUUGAAGAUUCCAUGGAAUUCUUUUUGGAAUUUCGACAUUUGAGUGGAAAGUAUUAACUUCAACUAUAAGACUUUCAUCUCUUGGUGAAGAAUAAAGAGCUUCAAUAUUAAGUUGAGUAUUCAUAAGCUUAUAAUAUACUCUGUAUAUUAUAGCAAAAGCAUUUGAUCUACUAUCAAAUUCAAGAUUUUUAGUUUGAAUAUGAAGAUUGAGAGAAUUAGGAAUUGCUCCAUCAGUGAGUUUGAUAGAAAUAUUUAGAUAACAAUUUGAAAAUACUGGACCACUUUCAAGAUUUGAUUCAAGAAGUGAAAGUAAUGAAUUUUCAAAAUUGAGAUGUCUCGUUUCUAAGAGUAAUAAGAAUUGGAACAUCAAAACCAAGUCUAAAUAAGGGCUUGACUGCUAUUUGAACUAAUCCAACAUUAAGAUAUUUAAAUUUCUUCUUGUGGGAUUCAAUAACUUCUUUAGUAAAUAAAUUAAUGAAAAAUUUUGACUAUUAAUUGAAACAGUUUGUUCAAUAGUUUUGAUAACAUAAUUUUGAUAAAAAUCAAAUUUUCCUAUUUCAUAGAUGGUAUGUUUAUCCAUUUUUGGAAUAGUCCAAUUUUGAAGACGUUCAAUUUGAGCAAUUUGAAGUUCAUGAGAAUUAAAAUCAUUUGAUGCAGAUGAUAAUGAUGCAUUAUCAACUUCUUCUUCUGUUUGAUAAACAUUUGUUCUAUUCUCAUUUAAUUGAUUUUCUCGUCUAUUUCUAGAUCUCGAUCUCCUUAACCAAUUAGUUACUUAAGACAUAAUUGAAUAAAGAUGAAAUUACGAUAAAACAAUGUAAAGACAAAACAAUAGGAUAGACAGGUUCUCACCAAGCCUACAAUGGGACCACCCUUCAACUCCUACACUGGCAACACGGGUUGACCAACGCUUAACAGCAGACGUCCAGGUUUAAACAAGGUUUUCCUAAAUAUUUUAUGCCUACACUGUUUGAUAAUAACCUCACUUUAAAACUCUUAUGCUCUGAUACCAAAAUGACCCAAAGGAAAUAAAACCAGACAAAAUGAAAAAGAUGAAUUCAAAAUUUUUUCAAAGAGAAAUUGUAUUGAUAAUUGAUAUGUAACAGAAUUGAAAUUACAAAAUAAAUCAGUAUCUCCUCUAGAUUGUUCAACACUAUCUACAUCCUCAUUCUUUUCACUCUUCUAGUCAGAUCCAUUGCUAAUUCUAAUAGUGAAAGCAAUAUAUUUUCUUAUUUUUCUCAUGAGUGGAUUUAUUACUCUGAUUAUUCGAGCUAGACUCAUCAUCAGUGAGAAUAGUAUUUAUAGCAUUAUCCUGAGUUCUCCUACUACUGGGACAUUCGCUUCUGACAUGACCAAAACCUUGACAAUUAUGGUAUCUCACUCCUUUAGAUCCUCUUCAAGAUAUACUCGGGGCACCUUUGUGUCUAUCCUGAGACUUGUUUUUGUUCCUAAACAUCUUCUUGAAUUUCUUAGCAAAGUAGCCUAAACCGCAUUUCCCAAAUAUGUGGUUGUAUAAUCUCAAGAAUUAAACGAUUGAAAUUAAGGUUUGAAUGUGCACUUGGAUCGUCAAAGAAUAAUAUGGAGAGGCAACACAAUGAAAAACCACCAUUUUGAAUGUUCAUAGGUAGGAUAUAUAUAGAGAAAAGUGUGUGGAGUAAAAAGGGAUUGAAAAACCAAGUGUUUGAAGAAAAAUAGAAUUCUUAACGCCGACCUGUCACUCAAGCAAUAGGCUAGCGACAGGCGAGUAACAGCUGAGUAGUUGUCAGUAUUUUCAUCAUAAUUUUCUCUCCCAAUGUCUGAUUGAGGUUAUUCAAAAUGCGUAUAGAAGCUAACUCAAAGGAUUACAGUUAUUCUAGUACUAACCUUGUCCAAAUUUCAAUGUUUUCUAUAUGAAAAAUCUAUUACAAAUUAUGACUAAGAAUUUGGAACAUAACUUGUGCGGCUCUUUGAUAUCCUUUAGACUUCUAAUUGCAUUCCAAUUAUCAUAUGUGAUCUACUUGGAAAUCUUGGACUCUUCCAAGGACUAUACUACCAACUCCAAUUCUUUUGCUAUAAUUAGGACUCAAUAAUUUAACUUAGAUUACAACAUGUCAACAGACUCCUUGACUUUUACAACUUUUUUAUAUUAAUCAUUUUUGUCUAAAGAAUUGCCUAUUUAAUAAAAACCUAGCAAGCACGAAGGGAUAGCUAUAGUUUCUAGGCAUUCAGAUUUGUGUAUGCUAUUCAUCAAGUUUUGAAGAGUAGAUGGAAUAAGAGUAACACUCCUUUACAUUGUAUAUCACAUUCUUUCAUUCCUAAGUGUUACAAUGAAGCUUGGCUUCAAGAUGGUAUUAACAGAGUUACAAGAAUUGCACCACCUGAGGAUCAAGAGGUUUCAAUAAAUAGAAGCAAAUGCUUCAAAAGGUUGUUUGAAAUAUCAGUUGAUUUGAGGAAAACAUAUGUUGAAUUUGGGUCUUUUCUAAUAGAUUGGAGUGUCAGCCCCAUGUUAUUAACACAAGAAUGUACAAGGAAUCAAUCUCUUGGUGGCCAAUCAUGGUUAUUUAGUACCUUUGUUGAAAAUCUGUUGCAUUUAAAUUGUUUUUACAGUAGACAUCAUCUUCUCAUUGUGUGCGAAAUUGAAGAACGCAUUCACUCAUCCAGAGUGUCAAGAGAAACAAAAUGGUGGCAAGUAGGCUAAAGACUUGUAUUUGUUCGUUGCAAUCUCCAUUUCCCGUCAUUGAUUCGCCAAGUUUCUCCAAAAGAAGGCGUGGAUGAAUUUGUAAGUGCUGUACAUUCUUUUCUCUACCAGUUUCUUUUCUCUACCAGUUUUUUUUUUUUUUUUUUAAAUUGAUGGAUGCAUUCUUGAAGGUGUUUUAGCAUUCUGUUUAUUCAUACACGGGAAAUGGGUUUAAGCCACUUCUUAGGUUUUUUCUAAAUUUCGUUUGCCCAAUUUCUUCAGUCUCUGUUUAUUUUCUGUGUGCCGUGAAAAUGUAUCGUUAAUGGAUUGCAUCAAUUCAAUUUGUUUUUUUAAAAGUACAGAGUGAUCCCUUACCGCUGUACCAUAUUAAAUUCUAAACAGAUAGACGCUGCAGCAAAUUAUGAAUGCUAUCAGUGAACGUUG